ACGAAAUAAAGAGUUAUUUAGAAACUUACAAGGAUUCAUAUAAGUUAGAUAAAAUAAAAGUUAGAAGUUAACAGAAAAUAUCACAAAAUCACGGUAUCAUGAAAACAAAGUGCGAAUAUAACUUGGACAGUUAUAAGUCCACUUUGCUGCUUCUUGUUCGCUGUUUGAUGUUAUUUCCGAACUUCCUAAGUCCGAAAAAUGCUAUUUCCAGCCCUUUGAGGCUGCUGCAAAUCUGCUUUACUUUGAUCAAAUUGACCAAAAUACUAGCUUCCCUUACGCAAUUUUGAUGAAGAUCGACUCAAAUAGAGGAGGAUGCAAGAGAUGGGGAGUCGGUUGGACUCAACUGGAGAAAGUUUAGCAAAACAAUCAAGUAGAAAACUAAUGAAGCUUAAUGAAAAGCAAAUGAUAAAUUCAAUCAAAUAUUAGGAGUUAUGUUCAGGAAGUCAAAACAAUACAUAUGAAGCUACAGAAAGAUAGGACUAUAUGUACUUGCAACUCAAAAUUUCCAGUAAACAAAAGCGUGCAGAAAGUUGUAAAGAAUAAAUAAAUAAGAUAUCUGCCAACUUUUUUCUAAUAUGAUUCAACAUAGAUAAACAAAAAGGCAAGUCCAUCACAUAUAUCUCUCAGCUAAUCCAUUCAAUAAUUGAAUUAAGACUAACUUUUUUCAGAAAACAUUGUUAAAACUGAAGAAACCUAUCCCGUAGAACAAGAACCAGGUUCUUGUAAGUUGGUUUAAGUCAGAACACAAACACUUGUUAAAUUAAAAACCUUCCUCAAUGAAGGAAGGAAAAACCUCGUUUUAUUAAAUCAACUAGAUGAUUUUUUAUGAUCACAACUCAAUAAUCAAUAACCUCACCACUACAACAACUCUCGAUUAACUAGUUAAAACAAUAACACUAGAUUGUAACUAAAUUAAUCCCAAGUAACAUAGAAAAGGAAUUAAACCAUAAAUCUAGCAGGUGCAAGAUAGUUGAACUAAUCUACACAAAACAUGAGAUGUGUAGGACUACAAAAAAAAAACUAGCAGUUAAUCUCAACAGAUCCAUAUAUGUUUAAAGAUAAACGAAUUUAAAUGCAAUUUGAUCAAAGUUUUAACCAAUUUUAAUUUAUUUUAUAAGAAAAACGAACAGAGACAAGGAAAAUACUUGAUAAUCUUGCACCAAAAUAAUUUGCCAAAUUCAAACAAGGAUCUCAUUACAGUUAAUCGAUCACAUAAGACAACUUAAGAUCACUCAACAUAUGUUAUUAUUUAAACAGACAAGAGACUUAUGUUUAACCUGGAAAACAGAACAAAAAAUGAGAAUGAACUAACACCAAGGAAGAUCAACGACAAAUAAUAAAUGCAAAGGAUUGCAAUUUAAAGAAGAAAUAACAAAUUUCUACUCUAAAAAAAUUUACUCUAAAAUAUCAAGAGAACUCAAAAAUGACUAAAAAUAUAAUGAACACUUUUCUGUGAACUUUAAAGAAUCUGAAAAAAAUAACAUGCAACACAAGCUUUCUUCUCUAAACUAUUGCCCAAAAUAAGACAUCAAACUUAUACACACAUGGAACAAGACAUUAAAGGAAUAAAACUAAGACAAACUUGAAAGAAAACCUGUACAAACUUCUAUCCAUAUUGUACUUCAAUCAAGACAAAUAAACUUCAACAAGAAACAACUUGUGGCAAAAAACAGAACAAACUUUUGCAACACGACAAAGGAGAAACUUUAGAACUAACGAGGAUCAACAUAGUAUUCUCAGACCAAGCAACCUAAUAUUAAAAAAUACGCCAAUAGCAAGAAAUCUACACAAAUGAAUAUAAGAGGGUUGAGUGAAACAAGAAGCUCGAUUGAAUUGAAAUGCAAGGUGAGAACAUGAAUGGAAGUUAAUCCUAAUAGAACCAAUGAGUGAUAUUAAUUCUAAUUUCUAGGCGGACAGUAGAAAAGUGGAGAACUAACUAUAAGGUCUACACAUAAUGGAGGUACAGAUGAGUCCAACAAGAGGAACACAAAUGCAAAAAAAAAAAACAUAAGAAUUUGUUAAUAACUAGAAAUACAAAUUUAGCUAGGUGAAGCAGGUUUCAUGAAGUUACAAAUUCAAACCAGAUGUUCACAAUGCUAGUCUAUAUUCUCUUCAAAUCAAAGAUGGAAAACAGUUUGUUAACUAGACAAAGAAAGAGAAGAGCUCAGCCUGAGCUAAGACAACUUUUAACCAAAAGAAAGAUAAUCAAACUGCCAACUCUGGAUUGAGACGGACUUAUUCCAUAUGAAGAAACCGAUAAUACAGUAAGCAACAAAUUUUGAAAGAAGAACAGGAACCAGAAAAUGAUUCAAAUAGAGGAGGGGAACAAGAACAUAUCUCGACUACAAUAAUUCAAAUUACGUAAGAAUGUAAACUACUUCUACAAGUUUUAAGUGAACAUGAUGAGAAGUUAUUAAAACACAUCUAAACGAGAAAGAAAACAAUCAAAAACAAGUAAUCAUUGGAGGCAACAGAACAACGCAGCCAUCAAACUCAAUGUUGAAACCAAAGACAUAAAAAAUGGGAACUCACAGAAAUGCUGUGAGCUGAGAGAAUAACAAGCUAAGAGGGUCAUACACAUACUAAAAGGAAGCUUAGCAAAUUUUAACACACAAUCUGAUAGGCAGCCCGAAGAUGAACCAAAUAAAAUGAGAAGCACAACAUUCCAAAGACCAUAAGAAGAUUAACAAUGAACAAAGAAAGAACAAAACUCAACACAUUAAUACUACUAAACAAAACAAGAAAGAAACCAUCAACAUUUAAGCUACCAAGGACGUAAUUAAACUGAAGAAGACACGAAAAUAAUUCCUAAACUAAAGUAAUAAUGACCAAACUAAUAGAAUCUGGUAUUUUGAUGAUAGACAAGAAAUGCAAAUACUAAUGCAAUAAUUUUCGUAGCCAAUUAACGCAGUAUCGUAGCCAGUAUUGCAGCCAUCAGUGAAGAUACAAGUUGAUAUAAAUAAGGAAACCUUAAUAUAUUUUAUUAAGUCAGGAAGUUGUAUAUAAAAAGGAUUGUACAAUAAAAGGUAAAAUCAGUACUCCUUGUUUAACUACAAUUACAAUUUCCUUACCUUAUUUGAUAAGGAUUCAAGACGCAAGAAAGCAGCAGGAAUAUCUAUAAAGGGAGAUCAAACGCAGAAGAGCAAAACACGACUUUUACAUAGAGAGAAAAGCUAGAGUUAUUCAUCAAGUAAAAGCCUUCAAGAUCGUUAGGUUUUGCUAAUUUUAAAGAAGUUCUUAAGUUAGAAAGUCUUGAAGAAGUUCUUGAGUUAGAAAGUCUUGAACGUGCAAAACUAUUUUCUUGAUUCAUUGUUGAGUUGGUAGUUAUGUUUUUGUGCAAGAAGUGGGUUUGGCUUUUGUAGAGCUGAGCUUUGGUGAGGUUGUAAUAAAAGGUGGAUUUGGCUUUUGAAAUAGAAGUAGUCGAUUAUAGUUAAUCGAGAGUUGUUGUAGUGGUAAGGUUAUUGAUAACAUAAAAUUAUCUAGUUGAAUUAAUAAAAUGAGGUUUUUCUUCCUUGAUUGAGGAAGGUUUUUAAUUUAACAAGUGUUUGUGUUCUGACUUUAACAAACUUACUUGGAUAAGUUACCUGAUUCUGGGCAGUGAACCGGGACCACAAGUUGAAAAGACGACACUACCUCUUCAACUCCAAAAGCCACACAACAUUUUAAAAUUUUGAACUAUGGAACCAAGAAUUCCCAAAAAAAAUUUGAGUACUCUUUGGACUCCAAAUCCCCCUUUUGAACACUGAAUAAGAAGACUAUUUAUAAGGGUAAAUCGGAAAGGAAAAAAGGGUCUGGAUCGAUGUGGGAGAAUCCCAAAUUCAAAAGCUAUCAUCGUACCAAUUGCCAAAAAAAAUGAAGAGGACCGCUUGAUUAAAAGAGCAAAGGACGAAGGAGGAAUUGUGAUGCAAACACCUGGAUUUUCUCCAAUGGUCUGGUACGACUACGAAUGGAUUAGGACAGACGCGAAGCCACACACGUGAUUUGGAUGCUCAUGAUUGUAGCGUUUCUGAGUUUCUUGUUCGUUGUUGGGUUUUUUCACAUCUAUAAAAGACUCUAGGGUCAUUGAAUUUGUUGGAAGAAAAAGAUACAGGGUCGGGUUGGGUAUUUAGUAUUGUAUUGUUGGAUUGUGAACUGAGAAAUGGUCCUGGGUUUUGAGGAAUAAUUCGUAAUGGGCUGCGCAGGAAGGGUUGAAUACGGCCCAGAAUUAGUCUUCAAGAAUUGCAACUCAAGUUAAAGGGGGAUGACUAUAUUUGCAAUUAAACAGAUAACUAAUUGAGGUUGAAAAUUUAAUGGAUUUGAAAUCAAUAGGUAAAUUCGGCCAAAUCUUAAUCAAGACGAAGUCAAACAAAAUUUAUUGACAAACUUCUUAAACUUAACGAAAAUGAUAUAAUUAACCUAAUCAUAAACUAACUGGUUUAAAAAUUAUAAACAUAGUUUAAACUAAACUAAUUCAAUGAAAUACUUACUAAAAAUUAUAUUCUCUUUUUGAGAUAGUUUUCAAAAUAUUUAUAAAAUAUGCUUAUUAUAUAAAAAAUUAUAUAUAUAUAAAAUAUAUAUAUUACUUAAAAAUUAUAUAUAUGUUAAAAACUAAUUAAAAUAUUUUGAAUUUGAUAAAGUUAGUUAUUUCAAGUCGUUUGAAAAUUAUGAAACUCGAAAUUUAAUUCCAAUCAUGGGAAGUCGAAAUUGGGUGUCAACAGUCGUACUUAGAAGGAUUUUCAUAUUUUGUUUUGUUAUUUCUAUCACCAAAUUCACCAGUUUUACGUUAAUAGACAUCCUACAUCAAUUGUAUUAUGUAUAUAGGUGAAUUUCUUUAUUGAUAUGCAUAUUACAUAGUGAAUCCCUUCAUAUACCUAAUCCUCUAUUUUAUAUUAUGUUCUGUUAUCUCCGUCACAAAAUUCAUUGUUUUCUUCUACUAGAAUUACGCUUAAUGCUUACGCAUCCAUAAAUUUCAAGUAGCAUCAAUACGUACCUUAUGGUACAAUAUAAACCUUGCAACAUGACAUAUUUUGUUUUGUUAUUCCCAUCACCAAUUUCACCAGUCUUUUAUAGACUCUUGAUCUACUGCAAUUGUUUUUCUUUAUCGAGCUUUAGGACUAAAAGCUCAUGCACAAAAAAUUUAAGUAAUACACAUCAUCAUUAGUGUCAAAGCCGAUAUAUUAAAAAAGAGUCAACUAUCACCAGUUCAGUGAAAAUUAUAGAUACUAUGUGUUGUGUUUAAUCCCUAAAUAUUAUAUCAAAUGAUUAAAACGAUCCAUAUUCAUAUUUUUUCUAUAAAAAUUACCCCUCAUAAAAAAGAAUUUGUCGAAUACUUCAAAUAAAUCCUGAAAUCACGUUUUGAAUUAAUAAAAUACUAUUGAGUGAAUAUAUGUUGUAAUUAGAAAGAUUCGCAGUAUUUUGUUUUAUUAUUUCCAUCACAAAUUUAACAGUUUUACGUUAAUAGUCAACAUAUAUACUGUUACCAUCUUCCUCUAUCGUUGCUUAGCACUAAAAUCUCAUGCACAUAAAGUUUCAAUAAUAUUCAUCAUCAUCAAUGACAUAACAACAUGUAUUUACAAGGUGUCAACUGAUACCUUUUCACUGAAAAAAUAUAUUUUGUAGAUAUCUGAAAAGUUUUAUCACGACAAUAAAAUCAGCUUUUAGCGACAAAAAUAUACAAUUUACAAAAAAAUGCUAAAAUAUUUACCAGUAUUAGUUAUUUUUUAUUAUAUCCAAUGUCGUUAAAUGCUCUAGGACAUUUACAAAGUGUGUUAAUUGUCGUUAUAUUUAGUGGUAAUUAAGCUAUCAUAGUUAAUUAAUUGCAGCUAAAGAUCAUUUUUAGUGUACUAACAUAGUAUGUAUUGAAUCCCUUUAUAUAUUUACUCGUAUAUUUUGUCAAAUUUUAUUUUUGUUAUUUCCACUUACAAAAUUAGUCGAUUUUACAUUAGUAGUCAACCUACUGCAAUCGUUUUCCUCUAACAAGGAUUAGGAUUGAGCUCAUGCCUGUCGUAAUAUCAAUAUCUACCUUGUGGUACAAUAUUAACCUUUCAACAUGGUAUAUAUAGUUUUGUUAUUCCCAUUAUCAGGUUCACCAAAAAAAAAUUAUUGACUAUUAACCUAGUGCAAUUGUUUUUUUCUAUCAAGCCUUAGGACCAAAACUCAUUCUUAUAAAUAUUUAGUGGUAUGAUGCACAAGUAACCCCUCAACCUAUGCCCGAAAUCUCAUCGACACACUUCUAACAUACUAAGGUCCUAUUACCAUUUGAACUUAUUUUAUUAAUAAUUUUCUACCCCUUUUCGGUCUACGUGGCACUAUCUUGUGUGUCCAAUGCUGGGUUACUUUUUCUUUCAAGAUAGUUCUACGUAGGCCAAAAAUGGGUAGAAAAUUACUUAUAAAAUAAGGUUAGGAGGUAAUAGGGUCUUAGUAUAGUAUAAUUGUGUCUCUGAGAUUUCGGGCAUAGGUUGAGGGGGGUAUUUAUGCAUUUUCCCAAUAUUAAGUAAUACACAUUCUUAUGGGUGGCAAAGCCACAUGUAUUCAAAAAGAGUAAACUAAUACCAGUUCAUGAAAUAAGUAUAUAUAUUAUGUGUUAUGUUAAUUCGUAAAUAUUGUAUAAAAUAAUUAAUGAUGAUUCAAAUUCAUAAUUUGAGUGGAUUAUCUUAAAAUUAACUUUCUAGGAAAAUAUUCAAUUAACAAACCUCAUUAAUUUCUUCUUACUUAAAAAAAAAUAGAGGCAAUAUUCAUUGAAGUAUUGCACUUAAAAGUCAAAUUCAACAACUUUAGUCAAAGUUCAAUUGAUUGAAUUAAUAAAUAUUAUCCCAAAUGAUUAAUGACAAUUUGAAUUCAUACUUGAGUGAAUUAUCUUAGAAUUAACUUUCCUGGAAAAAAAUUCAAUUAAUAAACCUCAUUGAUUUCUUAUUACUUAAAAACAAAAAAGGCAAUAUUAAUUUGAUUAUUGCACUUAAAAGUCAAAUUUAGCAACUUUAGUCAAAGUUCAAUUGAUUUUACUAAUAAAUAUAUAUAAUAUGUAAUAAAAUUUAGUCAACACAUUAGUAACUUACAUUAAAAAUCACUAUUUCAACCCGUCUAUAUAUAACCUCCGAAACAUUUCUUGGAAAAAAUAUAAUUUAAAAAAAAUAUCAAAUGGAAGAUCCAACUAUCAUUGGAAGAGUAGAGUUGUUGGUUUCACCACUUUGUGGAAUUCCACAAUGAAGAGUUGCCCGUUUUUUAGAUCCAAUUUCUACUUCAACUGAAGGACCAAAUUCGAAAACUCAUUCAAUCCACAUUCCAUUUGAUCAAUCUGAGUGUCCAUUGAAAGUCACAUUUCGUGGUUGCAAUGGAUGGAGGAAUCAACAAAAGAAAUGGAAAGAAUGGAUUGAAAAUAUGGAGUCUAUCCAUCGCCCUAUAUGGAUAACUGCGGUAAUUUAUGGAGCACUAAAAGGUUCAAGUUAUAGAGUCCACAUCGACGAAUAUUUAAUAUUUGGGUUGGUAGAGAGGUGGUCUUGUGAGACUAACAGUUUUAUGUUUCCGUAGGGUGAAGCUACUGUUAGUCUUGAAGACAUGAUGGUUUUGGGAGGGUUUUCUGUUUUGGGUGACUGUGUUAAGCCCCCCUUCAAUCCCCUCAGUUGGUAGAGAUUGAAGAGUACUUAAGAAUGCGGGAAGAGAACUUAUCAGACCGAAGACAAAUAAUAAGAGUAGGUGGUCGAAUUACUUCAUGAAUAGUGGUAAGGACUACGAAUAUGAAGCUUUUCUUUUCUUUGGUUAUCUAGAUUUGCGUUUCCGUCUAAAGUAAGUGCUCCUAUUUUCUCGAUAGCUGUUAAUCUAGCUAGAGGUAUGCGGCAAGCGCUUGCUCCUACUGUUCUUGCUAGUAUAUAUAGGGACUUGGGCUCGUUGAGAAAGGCUAUGAUAGAGACAAGUAGAAGAAAUAGAGACCUAAUUGAGAUUCAUAAACUUAAUCUUUGGUCACCAUUGUUCUUGUUUAAGUCUGGGCUUGGGAGAGGAUGGUACCUUUUCAACCAGAGCUAUCUCAGAAUUACAAUAUAGUUAGUGGGGUCAGAAUAGGAUGAUGGUACAAUGUGAAACUAAUGGUGAAAUUAAUUUGAGGACUACUAUUGACGCAUCUGGGGAGAUUUUCCUGUGGAGUCCAUAGGCCUUGGCUAUGGAAGGUUUGUCAAUUUUUCCCAUGUUUUACAAGGAAAUUGAAAAGUGGACAAUAGUUGGAGGGCUAAAUUUGGCUCAAGAAAUGGAGUCUUUCGUUCGAUGUUUGAAGGUGUCUAAGCUUGCUGGUUUAGAAUGUCAAGACCCUUAUCAACCAAAUCGGGUAGCAAUGCAGUUUGGAUAUGAUCAAGACUUCCCUAAAUGGAUUCCUCACUUGCCUUCAAGUCCAGAACUUGCCUGGUAUAAUUACAGCAUACCUAUUGCUUCUGAUUUGAGGUUAUACUAUCCGUCUAGGCUUUUUGAACCGGAUGUAACAACACGGUAUUUGGAAUGGUGGAGAAACGAAACUGAUCGUCAAAUGGAGAACUACCCUGAAGUUCCUCCUUGUUUUCCUCCCAAUUAUUGUUGUUAAAAUGACAAGAAGAAUUACCCUGGUUCGAAGCAUAUGCAUAUUUCAGAGGAAACAGUUCACACAUCCAUUGACGGCUAUGUAGUCCCCCCGCCAGGAAGUAUUGAAAGGAGCAAAGCUUCUGUUGUAACAGAAACGUAUACCAAAAUAACUAAAGGAAAUAUGGCGAUGGGAAACCAUUAGAAAGGGAGUGGUACAUAUGAUAUGAUCGAUAUUACGAAACUUGAGAGGAGGAUUAGAAACCUUGAAAACAUCAAUUUGGGAAAGGUUCCAAUAUUCAGGACAAAGUGAAAGCAACAUUAAGCUAAAAUAUAGUGCUAAUACAAAGUUUUUGUUUAGUUCAUGAAGUUAUAUAUUAUAUUCUUCUUUAUUGCCUAGUACUCAGACACUACUACUAGCUCGUUCUUCUGUUUAGGUCCUUUUGUAACUAUAUAUAUCAGGUUUAGUAAAAAAUAUUCACUUGAAUCAUGAAGCGUUUGUGGUUUCUAACUAUUUAGCUCUAUGAAGCGUUUGUGGCUGUUGCAAAAGAUAUAAUCACUAGUAUGUUUUUGUUCCCAGACUAUCAAAUUACUAUGAAGGCGGAGUCGGAGAUUCUUUAUAAUUCUCUCCCUCCUUCAAUUAAACCAAGUUGAGUGACAAACAUAUUCUCUUAAGUGUGGAGAUUAAAGAAUAAAUUAACAGGAAAGGGAUGACAUAAUAUUGAACUAAUUAAUUUGGUCAUAUUCUUGUCUGAAACAGUACUUAUUGCUGAUAGCCUUGACAAAAAACGAACUUUUGAGCAUGUUUUUGUUUUAGGGAAUAUUUGCAAGACAGUGAUAGAGCUAUUUCGCAUGAUCAAUUUAUAUGCAUGGACCAACAUGGUAUUGUUGAUUCCAACUUGUUUGAAAUUGAGAUGCAGUAGUAGUAGUUAUUGUUUAAGUCUUGGUAUAAUGUUAUUUUUCAUAUUUUGUUUUGUUAUUUCCAUCAUUAAAUUCACCAAUUUUACGUUAAUAGUCAGCCUACUGCAAUCGUAUUAUGUAGAUAGGUGAAUUUUUUUUAUUGAUAUACGCAUUAAUUAUUGAAUCCCUUCAUAUACUUAAUCCUAUAUUUUCAUAUUAUGUUUUGUUAUCUCCGUCACCAAAUUCACUGUUUUCCUCUACUGGGGAUUAGGGCUUAAUGCUUACGCAUAUGUAAAUUUCAAGUAGCAUCAAUAUGUACCUUAUGGUACAAUAUAAACCUUACAACAUGACAUAUUUUGUUUUGUUAUUCCCAUCACCGAAUUCAUUAUUCUUUUAGUGACUGUUGGCCUACCAAAUUCAAUGACAGAACGACAUGUAUUCAAACGACAUUAAGUUGAUGAGCUCAAGAGUUAUGUUGCUUCACACAGGAGAUGCUAUACCCAAUAUGGUACGAUUUCAGUUUACAUUUUACACUCUCUGAUAAUAUUCUUAAGAAUAAAAGUUUAUAACAAAGCAGAUAAACGUAUUGAAUUCUCAUUUGUUAUGUCAAAUUUUGCUAAUAAAUCAAGUCCGACUUUAAAACUAGUUAUACUAAGGUGUAAACUUAUCUUGAGUGUCUUUAUCAACCAUUACUGUCUUACCAACGACUGAUUCAAUUGACAGUAAUAAUUGUUUUACAAAAAGCAUAUGAAAAUCAGUAAAAUGGGGGGGGAGGGGUAUACCUUUUUUGGGGCUCGUUUGACUCUAAAAAUAGGUCGUUUUGACCGUGUUGACAAACCGGAUACAUAGAUAAGGUCUUAAAGGACGUUUCUUUAAAAUACUGGCAACAAUGAAUUCAAAAUAAGGUUGUUAAAAAAUAUGGUGGACUAUAGCAUUUGAAAAUCAACAAAAUAGGGGUUUACUUGCUCUGGGGCUCGGUUGAAUUUAUAAAGGGGUCGUUUUGGCCGUGGUGAACAACCGGCUCCAUAAAUAAGGUUUUAACAGACGUCCAUGUAAAUAUUUGGCAAAACUGAACUCGGAAUUCUGGAUGACCAAAAAAUAUGGUCGACUAUAGCACACGAAAAUCAUCAAAUGCAGGGGGGAUUUAUUAGCUCUCGGCUCAUUUGACCUUUAAAAUUGGUCGUUUUGGUCAUGCUUAUAAACCAGCUCCAUAGAUAAGGUCUUAACAGACGUUUUUGUAAUUUUGUAAUAAAAAAUGAACUCGGAAUAUCGGAUGACACAAAAAGAUGGCUAAUUAUAACACAUGAAAUCAACAAAAUGGAGGGUUUAGCUUCUCUAGGGCUUGUUAGACUUUGAAAAUAGGACGUUUUGGACCUGAUGACAAACUGACUCCUUUGAUAAGGUCUAAACAGACAUCCGUGCAAAUUUUUGGCAUAAAAAAAUUUGAAACUCCAGUGACCAAAAAAUAUGGUAGAGUAUAGCAUAAAAAUCGACAAAAUGGGGGGGGGGGUUACCUGCUCUGGGCUUGUUUGGCAUUGAAAAUGGAAGGUUUUGGCCGUGGUGACCAACCAACUCCAUAGAUAUGGUCUUAACAAACGACCUUGUAAUUUUUGGAAAAAAUGAACUCGAAAUUCCAAAUGCCCAGAAAAGAUGGUGGAUUUGCAUACGAAAAUCAAUAAAAUUGGUGGUUUACCUGCUUUGGGCUCGUUUGACCUUAAAAAUGGAUCAUUUUGGUUGUGGUUACCAACCAGCUCCAUCUAUAAUGUCUUAACAGAUGUCCAUGUAAAUUUUUGGAAAAGUGAUCCUGGAGUUGUGGAUGACUAAAAAAGAUUAUAGAAUAUAACACACAACGAUAAAAAAAUGGGGGAUUUACCUACUCUGAAACUCGUUUGACCUUGAAAAUGAACUGUUUUAGCUGUGGUAACCAAUCGGCUCAGUAGAUAAAGUCUUAACUGAUGUCGGUGUAAAUUUUUUUAAAAAAUGAACUCAGAAUUCUUGAUGACCAUUAAAGAUGGUGGUUUACCUGCUCUUGCUUGUUUGACCUUUAAAAUAGGUUAUUUUGUCCAUGGUGACCAACCGACUCCAUUGAUAAGGUCUGAACGCAUGUCAGUUUAAAUUUUUGGCAUAAAUGAACUCAAAAUUUUGGAUAUUAAAAAAAUGGUGGACUAUAGCACACAAAAAUUAGCAAAAUUGGGGGUUUACCAGCUCGGGGGCUCGUUAGAAGAUAAAAAUGGGCCUUUUUGGUUUUGGUGACCUACCGGCACCAUAUAUAAAGUCUUAAGGGAAGUUCGUGUAAAUUUUUUCUUGGGAUUCCGGAUGACCAAAAUAGAUAGUGUACUAUAGCACACCAAAAUCAGCAAAAAUUAACAUUUGCAUGCUUUGGGGCUCGUUUGACCUUAAAAAAGGGUCAUUUUGGUUGUGGUGACCAAUCGGGCACAUAGAUAAGGUCUAAACGGAUGUUCGUGUAAAUUUUUGGCGAAAAAGAACUCAGAAUUUUUAUGACCAAAGAAGAUAGUUAACUAUAGCAAAUAAAAAUCCGUAAAAUUGGGGGUUUGGGUGUUUACCAUCUCUAGGCUCAUUUUACCUUAAAAAUGGGUCGUUUUGGUUGUGGUAACCAACCAGCUCUAUAUGUAAGGUUUUAUCCGACUUUGUGUAAAUAUAAGGUAAAAAUGAAAUCAGAAUUCUAGAUGACCAAAAAAGAUGGUGGAUAAUAGCACAUGAAAAUUGGUAAAAUUAAGGGGGGGGGGUUACCUGCUCUCGGCUCGUUUGAACUUGAAAAUGAGUCAUAUUGGCCGUGGUGCCAACUGACUCCAUGGAUAAGGUCUAAGCAGAAUUCCGUGUAAAUUUUUGUACAAAAAUAAAUCAGAGUUUUGUAUGACCAUAAAUGAUAGUGUACUAUAGCACACAAAAAAUGGCAAAUUGGGGGUUUACCGUCUCAAGGUCUCGUUUGACCUUAAAAAUUGGUCAUUUUGGUCGUAGUAACCAACCGACUCUAUAGAUAAGGUCUUAACGGAUGUCCAUGUAAAUUUCUGGGAAAAAUGAACUCAAAAUUCUGGAUGACCAAAAAAGAUGGUGGAUUAUAGAACACAAAAAUUGGUAAAAUGGGGGAUUUACCUUCUAUGGGCUCAUUUGACCUUGAAAAUGGGUCGCUUUGGCUGUGUGACCAACCGGUUCCAUAGAUAAGUUCUAAACGUGCAUCCGUCUAUGUUUUCUACAAAAAUGUUAUCGGAAUUCUGAAUGACCAAAAAAGAUGCUCGACUUUAGCACACAAAAUUAGCAAAAUAGGGGGUUUACAUGCUCUAGCGCUCGUUUGACAUUUAAUAUGGUCUUUUUUGGCCGUGGUGAGCAACCGAAUCCAUAUAUAAGGGUCUUAACGGAUGUUUUUGUAAAAUUUUGGCAAAAAUAAAUUUAGAAUUUCAGAUGAGCAAAAACGAUGGCAGAUAUAGCACACGAAAAUCAGCAAAAUAGUGGUGUUUUAACUGCUCUGAGCUCGUUUGACCUUGAAAAUGGGCCGAUUUGGCCAUGGUGAACAACCAACUCCAUAGAUAAGUUUUAAGCGUGAACCUGUGUAAAUUUUUAGCAAGGAUGAAUUCGGGAUUCCUGAUGACAAAAAAAGAUGAUGGAUUAUAAAACACAAAAAUUUGCAAAAUUGGGGGUUUAUAUUGUCUGGGCUCGUUUGACCUUGAAUAUAGGCCGUUUUGGAUGUGGUGACCAACCGGAUCCAUAUAUAAGGUCUAAGCUAAAUUUUUUGUAAAUCUUAGGCAAAAAUGAUCUCGGAAUUCGGAAUGACCAAAAAAGAUGGUGGACUAUAUCACACAAUAAUUGUAAAAAUAGGGGGUUUACCUACUCUAGGGCUCCUUUGACCUUUAAAAUGGGUCCUUUUGGACGUGGUGACCAACCGGCUCAAGAGAAAAGGUCUUAACGAAUGUACAUAUAAUUUUUUGGCAAAAGUGAACUUGGAAUUCUGGAUGACCAAAAUAGAUGGUAAUGAUACCACACGAAUAUUUGCAAAAUGGGGGUUUAACUGUUCUAGAGCUUGUUUGACCUUUAAUAUGGAUCGUUUUGGCUGUGGUGACCAACCAGCUCUAUAGAUAAGGUUAUAAUGGACGUCCAUGUGAGAUUUUUGUAAAUAUGAACUUGGAAUUCCGGAUGACCAAAAAAGAUAGCACACGAAAAUCGGCAAAAUAAGGGGGGGGGAGGGUUUACUAGCUUUGGACUCAUUUGACCAUGAGAAUGGGCAUUUUUUACCGUGGUGAACAACCGGCUCAUAGAUAAAGUCUUAACGGAUAUUCAUGUAAAUUUUUGGCAAAAAUGAACUCAGAAUUUCUGAUAACCAAAAAAGAAUGUGGACUAUUGCACACCAAAAUUGACAAAAUGGAAGGUUUACCUGCUCUAUGACUCGUUUGACCUUAAUAAUGAGUCGUAUUGGACGUGGUGACCAACCAGCUUCAUAGAAAAAGUGUUUAAAGAUGUACGUGUAAAUUUUUGGCAAAAAUGAACUCAGAAUUCAGGAUAACCGAAAAAGAUGGUGGACCAUAGUACACUAAAAUCGGCAAAAUAGGAGGUUUACCUGCUCUAAGAACAUUUGACCUUCAAAAUGGGUUGUUUUGGCCAUUAUGACAAAAUGUCUCCAUAGAUAAGGUCUAAAUGGAUAUCAUUGUAAUUUUUUGGCAAGGAUGAACUCGGAAUUUUGGAUGACCAAAAAAAGUGGUGGAUACAGAACACGAAAAAGGGUAAAAUAGGGGUUUACCUUGUCUGGGGCUCGUUUGACCUUGAAAAUGGUUCGUUUUGGAUAUGGUGACAAACCUCUCCAAAGAUAAGGUCUAAGCAGACUUUCGUGUAAAUUCAUGGAAAAAUAAUCUUUACAUUCCGAAUGACCAAACAAGAUGUUGGACUAUAGCACACGAAAAUUAUGAAAAUAGGGGGUCUACUUGCUCUAGGGCUCGUUUGACCUUUAAUAGAAAAGGUCUUAACAGGUUUCCAUGUAAAUUUUUGGCAAAAGUGAACUCAAAAUUCUGGAUGACCAAACAAGAUGGUAACUAUACCACAUGAAAAUUGGCAAAAUGGGGGUUUAUCUGUUCUAGGGCUCGUUUGACCUUUAAUAUGCGUCGUUUUGGCCCUGGUGAGAAAUCGAACCCAUAUACAAGGUCUUUACGGAAAUACACAUAAAUUUAUUGCAAAAAUAAACUCGGAUUUCCGGAUGACCAAAAAAGAUGGUGAACUAUAGCACACAAAAAUUUGUAAAAUGGGAUGUUUACCUGCUCUAGGACUCGUUUGAUCUGAGAAUGGGUGUUUUGGUAGUGGUAAAAAAAAAUAUCCAUAUAUAAGAUCUUAACAAACAUCUUUGUAACCUUUUGGAUAAAAAAGAAAUAAGAAUUCUUGAUGACCAAAAACAAUGGUGGAAUAUAGCACACAAAAAUCGGCAAACUGAGGGUUUAUUUUCUCUAGGGCUCUUUUGACCUUGAAAAUGGACCGUUUUGGUCAUAGUGAAAACCGGAUCCAUAGAUAAGGUCUUAACAGGCGUUUGUCUAAAUAUUAGAAAAAAUGAACCCGAAAUUCUGGGCGACCAAUAAAGAUGGUGGAUGAUAGAACACGAAAAUAGGCAAAAUGGGAGGUUCACCAUGUUUGGGGCUCGUUUGACAUUGAAAUGGCUCGUUUUGGAUGUUGUGACCAACCGACUCCAUAUAUAAGUUCUAAACGAACGUUCGUGUAAACUUUUGACAAAAAUGAUACUGGAAGUCUUAAUAACCAAAAAACAUAGUGAACUAUAGCACACAAAAAUUGACAAAAUAGGGGGUUUACCUGCUAUAGAGGUCGUUUACCUUGAAAAUGGGUCAUUAUGGCCGUGGUGAUCAACCUGACCUAUAGAUGAGGUCUUCAAAAAUGCCUGUGUAAAUUCUUGGCAAAAUUAAACUCGGAUUUUUGGAUAAUCAAAAAAGAUGGUAACUAUACCACAUGAUAAUUGGCAAAAUGCUCUAGGGCUCAUUUGACCUUUAAUAUUGUUGUUUUAGCUGUGGUGACAAACCGACUUCAUAGAUAAGGUCUUAAUAGACGUUUAUGUAAUUUUUGCUAAAAAUGAACUCGGAAUUACGGAUGACCAAAAAAUAUGGUGGAUUAUAAUACACGAAAAUGGAGAAAUGGUGGGUUUACCUGCUAUGGGCUCGUUUGACUUUGAAAAUGGGUGUUUUUUUGUCGUGGUGACCAACUGGCUCCAUAGAUAAGGUCUUAACAGAUAUCCGUGUAAAAUUUUGGAAAAAAUGAACUCAAAAUUUAAGAUGACCAAAAAAGAUGGUGGGAUAUAUCACACGAAAAUCGAUAAAAAAAUUUGAAGGUUUACCUGCUAUGGGGCUCGUUUGAACUUAACAAUGGAUUGUUUUUGCUGUGGUGACCAACCCACUCCAUAGAUAAAGUCUAAACGGACGUCUGUGCAAAUUUUUGGAGAAAAUGAACUUGAAUUUAUGGGUGACUAAAAAAGAUGGUGGACUAUAGCACACGAAAAUCAGCAAAAUAUAGGGUUGACCUGCUCUAGAGGUACUUUGACCUUGAAAAUUGGUUGUUUUAGUCAUGGUGACCAGCCAACUCCAUAUAUAAGGACUUCAUGAAUGUCCGUUAAAAUUUAUGGCAAAAAUUAACUCAAAUUUCUAGAAGACCAAAAAAGAUAGUGGACUAUACACGGAAAAUCAAUAUAAUAGGAGGUUUACCUACUCUAGGCUCGUUUGACCUUCAAAAUGGGUCAUUUUGACCUUGGUGACCAACGAGCUCCAUAUAUAACGUCUUAACGGACGUCCAUGUAAAUUUUUGGAAAAAAUGAACUUGGAUUCUGGAUGACCAAAGAAGAUGGUGGAUUAUAGUACACGAAAAUCAACAAAAUGAGGGUUUACCUGGUUAGGGGCUCAUUGACCUUGAAAAUGGGACAUUUAAGUCGUGGUGACGAACCGGAUCCAUAGAUAAGAACUUAAUGGACGUACAUGUAAAUUUUUGUCAAAAAUAAUCUCAGAAUUCCGGAUGAACAAAAAAUUAGUGGACUAUAGGACACUAAAUCGGCAUAAUGGGGGGUUUACUUUCUCUGAGCUCGUUUGACCUUGAAAAUGAGUCAUUUUGGUUGUGGUGACCAACCGACUCCAUAUAUAAGGUUUUAACAGACGUCUGAAUAAAGUUUUGGCAAAAAUAAACUCGAAAUUCAAGAUGACCAAAACAGAUAGUGGACAAUAACAUAUGAAAAUGGGCAAAAUGGAGGGUUUACCUGCUCGGGGGCUCAUUUGACCUUGAAAAUGGGACGUUUUGACCGUGGUGACAGAUCGUAUCCAUAGAUAUGGUCUUAAUAAACGUCCAUGUAAAUUUUUGGCAAAAUGAACGAUUUGAAUGACCAAAAAGAUGGUGGACUAUAGCACACGAAAAUUGACAAAAUAGGUUUUUUAUUUCUUUAAAGAUUGUUUGACCUAGAAAAUGGGUCAUUUGGACCAUGGUGACUAACCAACUCUAUAGAUAAUGUCUUAAAUGAGCAUCCAUGUAAUUUUUUGGCAAAAUUGAACUCAAAAUUCCGGAUGACCAAAAAAGAUGGGGGACAAUAGCACAUGAAAAUCAACAAAGUGGGGGAUUUACGUGCUCUAUGGCUUGUUUGACAUUGAAAUGGGCCCUUUUGGACCGUCUCCAUAAAUAAGGUCUUAAUGGACGUCUGCCUAAAUUUUUGGCAAAAAUAAUAUUCGAAUUCCGGAUGAUAAAAAAGAUGGUGGACUACAGCACAGGAAAAUUGGCAAAAUAAGGGGUUUACCUACACUAGGCUCGUUUGACCUGGUAAAUUGGUCGUUUUGGCCGUGGUGACCAACUAGCUCCAUAGAUAAGGUUUUAAUGGACAUCCCUGUAAAUUUUUGGCAAAAAUGAACUUGCAAUUCCAGAUGACGAAAAAAGAUGGUUGACUAUAGCACACGAAAAUCGGCAAAAUGGGGAUUUACCUGCACUAUGACUCGUUUGACCUUGAAAUUGGGUUGUUUUUGCCGUGGUGACCAACCGAAUCCAUAUAUAAGGUCUAACGGACGUCUAUAUAAAUUUUUGGCAAAAAUAAAAUCGGAAAAUCGGAUGACCAAAAAAGAUUGUGGACUAUAACACAUAAAAAUCUGUGAAAUAGGGGGUUUACCUUCUCUAUGACUCAUUUGACCUUGAAAAUGAAUUGUUUUGGCCUUGUUGACCUACCGUCUAUAUAGAUAAGAUCUUGAAAGACGCCCGUUUAAUUUUUAGCAAAAAUUAUUUUGGAAUUUUGGAUGAUGAAAUCUCUUCCUAGAUCUCAGUGUAUUAGAGGCACAUCUUGCUUGAACAUAGACUGUUGGCUAAAAAGAAAAGUAAAAAAUUGAUUGUAAUAGCAAUACCAUCCAACAAAGGUGCAUUUAUGAAGCGAUCAAAUUUUGUGAUGGUGGUUCGUACUUUUAUAAUAGUACAGAUUUAAAGAUAGAAGUAUUAAAAUAUUUCAAAAUUUCCAUAAAAGUUGAAGCUUAAUUUUCUUAGACAUGUACAUCUAGAUGGAAGAUUGUGGCGUAGUGGUCAAUGAAGUGGUUGAAAAUCAUGAGGUCUAAUGUGCGAAUCCCAGCAAAGAAGAAAAAACAUGUAAUGACUUUUUCUAUCUUUCAUAGCCUUAGUGGACAGAGUUACAUAGUACUUAUUGCUGGUGGGAGGUAGUAUGGUUGAAAUAUGUAACAUUGUCAUCACCUUUUUCUUUACUUAUAUCUCCAUUUGCAUUCUGUUUAUAGCAUAUGUACAUUCUACAGUACAGACGGAAAACGCAAACAGAGUUGAUUGGCAGGAAGAGCUUUACCAAAAGGUAUGAUUUGCAAUGGUACUCUUUAUUUGUACAAGAUUUUGAAAACUGUGGAAAUUUGGUAUGUGGAUUUUGAUAAAAUGGCUGGUUAUAACAUUAUAAGAAAUAGUUGAAUGUUUCAAAAUAUUUCCUUUGAUUAUAGAGUAAUAGAAGAGGUUUACCAUACCAAAUGAACAACAAAAUUCAUGACCAUACCCCUCCACGCAAGAUGCUUUAUGUAUUCCAUUUCUUAGAGGUAAUAGAAAUUUAAGCAUGUUAACAGGUAACUUCUUAGAAUCGAACAUGAAUCCUCACUGUGCUGGUGCUCUGUAUAAGCCCGUCUUGGUCCCAUAUUUUUAUCGACAACAAAUUAAUUUCACAUGCCCUAAAAUAAUUUAGAAAUGAAGUAUAUUUUGAUAAAUUAACUGAUUAGAGAAAAUUAUUUGUUGAGUGCUAAGAUCAUAUGUCUGUAAGUUCGGGUCAAAGUUCUUCAUGGCAUGUCACCACAAUCUUUAAUUGUGAAUUUGAGGGAUAAACCUAUUUGUGCAAGAAGUAUAUACAUGAAUAUAUUGGUAUAAGAUGUUUUUUUGAGAAAAGACAUCCAUUCAUUUGUAUCAAUAUAUUUUUUUCUAUUUUUAAAUUUUAUUUCUUAUUAUAGAGAAAUCCAAUGCUUCCGUCUUCAAAACUCAGUCUUAUCUACUUACAUCGCUGACUUAGCUAGUAAUAAGUUAGAAUACUUCAAUUUCUCCAAGAAUAAACAUAUAACACUAACAUUCUCUGUAUUCUCCAUCCCAUUGUAAUUCACUUCUAAAGCCAACUACAAUGUUAUUAUUUUAUUGUUUAUCCUCUUUUGACCUCAUUGAUGAUAAAGGUGUAAAGUUAAAAAAAGAAAUGAUUGCCAUUAAAUUGUGUUAUAUCUCGCAACCUAACUUUAAAAAAGUAUAUUCUAAUCCUCCUGGUUGUGCUGGUCUAUGAUCACAUUGCGGAAGUUUCAUUCUUGAUUUUAGCACCAAGAGGCUAAAGGAAGCAAAGUUCAGUAACUUAGUUCUACUUCACUUUUAACCUUUUUAUCUAGAAGGUUCUUUUGUGACGAUUUUCUAGUUUUGUUCUCAAUUGUAUCGUACAGUUGAUCUAAUUAUCACCUAACCAUGUUGGAUAUGCAUUCUUGAUGACUUAUUGAAUUAUUUAUGCAGAUUAAGUCUAUGAAGGAGAUGUAUUUAUCAGAUAUCAAUGAUUUAUACGAGAAAAUUACUUCUAAAGUGCAGCAGGUAUGUCAAUAACAUCCCUUUAAGUGUUUCAUCAUUGUUUCAAAUUUUGGUUGGCUCUCUUGCAAGUUCCGUAAAAUGACACACCAUCAUUUGCAUAUUGCAUGCCCCAAGGUGUAAUUCAUAUUGCGUUGUAUUACUUAUUUCCUUAUUGGAAACUCCUCAAACUGGGAACUGAUGCAGAAAGCUCAAGACAGUAUAUUAGCGUUAUUUCUUCUUUGGUUCCUUUCCUGUUGAUUGUCAUCAUGAGAAAAAGUAAAGAAUUAAGGAUUCCCUAAUUUUUCGGGCAAGCGCAUGAUUUAUCUGAAUUUAAAAUCACUUGAGUCAACAUUCUGCUGAAUUGUGUGAACCUUCCCUACUAUGUUAUUUUUCUCAUUAUGUAAUUUUUUCAAUUAUGUUAUUUGUCCCUUUUUUUCUUGAUUUAUUGCAGGACUCUCUUUGUCAGAGUCUUCCAAAUGAGAGAACUGAAGAACUCAAGAUGUUCAAGAUGACUCUGGAACGCAUUAUGAUUUUCUUGCAGCUUAACAAAGAUGAUAUUAAUCUUUGUAACAAGGCGAAACUGCGUUCGGUUGAGAAGCACAUAAGUUUCUUUCUAAUAGGCAAAAAUCUGCACAUGCCUACUUCUUCUGCAUUGCAGGGGUAACUUCCUCAGGCUCCUAUCCAUACAAGUCAGGUAGGCAGUCCGAAUUUGUUUGUAUAAUUCAAUUGUUUUCACCUUGUUGAAGUUGUUUUCCUCUUGUGUUAACAUGCAUCUACAUUUCGAGUGGAGUUUUUUCUUUCUUUAGGGGGAGCUUGAUUACUUGGAACUUAUGAUUAGUUUCCUAGUAUAAAUCUCUUAAGUUAUGACUGAUAUCUCUUUCUACUUCUACUUUAUUCGAAGGUCUCAUGUGUUCAAAUAGGAAGGUAUGGAGAUCAAAGAUUAGAGAAGGUUAGUAGGGAGUCGAGUGUUGUCGUACUUUUAGUAGUAUGAUUUAGGUAGCUUGUAGUUUCUUUUUCCAACUACUGCUUAUAUUACUUGAAAAUAGGACUCAAUCAAAACUGUCCUUAUAUUAGAGAAUCCACAAAUCAAAAGAACGAUAAAAGACUGAAAUAUAAGAUAGAGAAGAAGGGGGAUGAAAAGCUCAGAUUUCUCAAAAUUGGGGAUGAAAGACUCGGAAGAUUUCCAUAACAAUAAAUCCCUACAUUAUGUUACUACUAUAAGAUUCCUCCACCUCACUAUUUUCAUUUAUAACACCUAUGUGUAUUAAUAUGUGUUGCUACACUUGUUUCGUACAUGGCUACUUUGUUUUUUUCUUUCUUACUUUAUUGCGUUUGUUACAUUUUUUUUGUGUCAGAGGUCUAUCAGAAACAACAGAUCUACUAUAAGGAUUGAGUACAUCCUACCCUCCCCAGAUCCCACUUGUUUAAUUACAUGGUUGUGAUGUUUUUAGUCUCCUCAGUUUCGUUCUAAGAUUUUGUGUUCAAAGUUAAUGAUCUGUCUUAAUUUAGUCAUAUGUUACUCAUCAUAUGCUGCACGUUAUAUCCAAUGCAAGCACAAUAUACACAUGCAAACCAUCUGUCUAGGCUGGAUUCCCGUGGGCAAGAUAUUGCUUAUGAGUUUGAUAGGAUUCUGCAUUUUAUUUAUUAGAUGGUUGUCAUGAUGGAUUGUGUCAAGUAUGGAAUGGUUUUGAAAUGUUUGGUAUUGAUAGAUUGAGCUCUGGUACAAAACUUGAUGAGCAUUGAGAACAUAUAAAGUGUUUGUGUAACCAUGCACCCUCCGUGGAUUAUGUAAAGUACUUGUGAACCAACUUAUGCAUCCUUUCCCUAAAUUAUGUAGAAAGUACUGCAACUAUAAUGAUAAAUUACUUAAAUUUUAUAUGGGAAUCGUACUAAAAUUUGAAAUAUCCAUCUCCAAAAUUUUCUUUUGAAUCUUUAGCAACACUACAAACAAAGGCCACAUUUCUCUAAAGAAAAAUUAUGGCCUCUCUUUUUAGUUUUUUCUUCAAUAUAUUCUUAUGAUUUGUGAAGUGUGUUACCUUAAAUGAUGAUGAUAUUUUAAUCGUUUUCAAAUAUAAAUUUCUUAAUGAACCAUUAUAAGCUGAUUUUUCUUUUGUGAUAAUAAUAUUAAUUGUAGUUUACUUCUCAAGUCAUUGUUUUGGAAAAAAAUUAUAGCAUUUGUUAUGUUCCCUAAAACUAAAGACUAAACUAGAGCCUAUAGUGACCUUAAUGGAGUCAAACGUAAUGAGUAGAGUCGUAAAAUAACCUCUGUUACUUAGUACUAAUGUUUUUGGGUAAAAAUUCAAGGCAUGACCCCCCAAGGACCCCCACCCCUCGAGGGUCCUUGAGGAGAUCGGGGGGGGGGGGGGGGGGCUUCCAAAAGCUAGGAAAUUGCAGCCUUGACCUAUGGAUAGGGCACCCACGGUCUGUGGGUGGACCUAUGCCCCGUAGGUGGGGGUCUUGGGUCGAGGCUUGGCCUCCCUGCAACCUCUAAGAUUAAGAGCCUAACCACGUUUGUACAACACGGAGUGUGAGCCCCCCCCCCCACGGCCCGUGGGUGGGGAGUCGUGGGUCACACAUGUAGGGUAUAUAAUUUGUUUUUGUUAGAGUUAAGGGAGGAUAUUAAGGUUAAUUAAUUAAAAAAUUAGGGUCGGUUAAUACUAAUAAAAAAUUUAUAUAAAAGAGAACCCUAAAUCCGCCUACGUGGUGCCACCACAAGCAAAAAUUUCCUUUUAAAUUUAUUUGUUACCAAAACUAGCCUUUCUCUUUUACAAAAAAAAGACGUCACUUUUAUGAAAACUUGCGACUUUCAUGAAAAGUUAUUACUUUUAUCAAAAUUUGUGACUUUUAUGAAAAGUUGUAACUUUAAUGAAGAGUUGCAACUUUAAUGAAGAGUUGCGACUUUAUGAAAAGUUAUGACUUAUAUGAAUGAUUGUGAACUAUUCAAUGGGUUGCAAAAUUUUCAAAUAUUUGUAAUCUUUCUGAUAAGACACAAUAAACAUUUGUUCACACUACCCGUUUGUCUAUAAAGAGAAGGAUUUUCUUUCAUUUUAAAUAAGAAAAUUCUGAUUUUCUUCUUCCACUUCCGCAAAAUUAAGUAUUUGUCUACUUUUGUCCUAUUGAGUGACUUACAAACACCACUGUUUAGUAUCAAUAAGUUGGUGAAUCAAAUAAUUAUAUCCAAAGAGGAUGUAAUUCUUUAAACCUUCCUUAUUAGAUGGUGACAGUUUUAUUAAGGGAACAUUGUGCGUUUAGUGGACUCAAAUUUUUCCUUUCAAUUUCUUUCUAUUUUUACAUAUUCUAUUUUUUUUACACUCAUUAAUUUGUGCUUAUGAUAUUAAUUGUUUUUAGUGUAUUUUUUAAACAUUGUUGUUUAUGUUUCUCCAAAGUUAUUUUCUCUAUUUAUAGUGAACAUAUACACAUAUAGUACACAUUUUCAUUAUGUAGAAAAUAAUUAUUGUACUUAGUUCUAAGAAUAUAGGUUUUAAUAUUCUAUAUUAAAUUCUAUAUCUUAAAAGUACUAUAUAUAAUCUUACAUAUUAAUCUAUUUUCACAUAGAUAUGAAAUUUCUCACUUCUCAAUUGAAAAAAUUCAUUAUACAAGUUCAAAAUUUAUAAUUGUUUUCAUGUUCAAGCUUAAUUUCUAUUUUGAAUAUGUUAACAAUUUUUUGAAUUUUCUCUUAAGACAUAUAUCAUAAUUGUAUAAUCUAUAUGACUUAAAUGUUUCUUUUUAUUACGAAAUGCCUUUGUAUCUAUAUUCUUAUUUUCUUCUUUAUUUUCCAUUUAGUGUUUAUUAAAGAACCAAUGAUAUUUUAUUUCAUGAAUAAUUCAUUAAUUAGAGUUUCUCUAGUUAUGUGAUAAUGACAAAUAAUCAAAUUCAUGUUAGACUUUUGCUAAUAUUUUUUAAGAACAUAAUUUUUCAUUAUUUUUAAUGUAUGAAUAUUAAUUAUAAAAAAAUUACUUACAACUUCAAUACAAUUAUUAUUUAUGACCGCGCGAAGCGCGAAAAAAUUACCUAGUUAAAACGAACUAUAAAUAGUUAAUAGACCCCUAAACUAAUUCAUGGAAUUCACUCAUUCAAUAACCCAUCACAAAUCUAUUUCCCUCUCAAAAUAUUCCUUAGAUUCAAUAACCCAAUAUAAGUACACAAGAAUCUACUCACUUUCUUCAAGAAGAACCCUCAAAGAUGAAAAUCCUCACCUCAAGAAUUCAUUAAACUCCAUAAUAAAGUAUGAAGAACAAAACCUCAAAAACACCCAUCAGAAAAUCAUAUCAUUCAACCUCAAGAACAAAAUUAUGGAUGAAAAUUACAUAAUUGUCCGGUGGGUGAAUGAACCCAGCACUAUGAAACCUUACAUACUUUAAUUUAGCAAAAUUCCUCGACGAAUUUCAAGAAUCUCGUUGAACGCUUUGAACCUCUCCUUUUGAACUCUUCUAAAAAUCAGAAAGGUAAUUUAGAGUUGUAAAACUGAUCCACAUUAGUUUAUACACCUAAAAUAUACUUAAAACAUUUAAAGCAAAUAGGGUAAGGAAAAGACCAAAAAUAUUAAUCAUUAUUUCAGGUAAAUUUCCUCAACUGAACAAGCAGACUUCAAACGGGCACAUCUCCCUUAUCUGAACUUAAAAUUUAGAAAACUCGAUGGAGUUGGAAAGAUGAUCCAAAGAAACUUUAUUUGAUAUCUUAUAUGCCACCUAACUCAUCAUGCACUGAAAUUUAUGAUCGUUUGAAGUUCACCCAAAACUCACAACUUAAGCAUAACUUGCAAAAUUCUUAAUUUUGCUUUUUCCAAUUUAGUUCUUUUCUAAGGCGGGAUAUUACAUAAUGAACAAAAGUUACUUUCUAAAGUAUCUCACAUGUGUUUUAUAAGCUGUUUAUCUUGCAUACAUUUAUGAAUUUUUAUUCAUCACAUGUUAUUUUAUGAUUUAGCUUGUCAUUACAUGUGAUGUAAAUUCCUUUUAGGAUGAUUACUUUACUGUUAUGCAUUGUUAUAAUAAUUUUUGUGUUCCAUAUUCUAAUGCAUACUUGUAGCUACAAAGUUUCAUGAUAUAGGGUCCGAAAUCCUAUUCUCCAUUCUCUUUGCAAGUUGAUUCUUUUAAGAUUUUGAAGAUUUUUGAGUCCUCAUGAUUAGAGGGACGAUAUGAAUUUAUUGAUUUUAGGUCUUUUUCUAUUUUCAGACUUCUUAUGUGAUGUAUGAAUUACGUGUCAAUAUAUUUCUCUAUGAUGUAGUAGAUUGUGUUGAGAUUUAAGUUAGAUUUCCACUUUCCUCAAAUUCUUUUGUAUGAAAUGCUAUAUUUUCAAAUCUUUACUUCUAUUAUCUUGUAUGUUGUAUGCUAAGUGGAUUGAGUAGGGCCUCCCAGAGUUUUAUCCGUCAUGUUAUGCCUAGGGUCUACUUUGGGUCGUGACAUGUAGUCUUUAAAUUCUUACAUUAUACUUCAGAAUUUUUCUGCUAUUUUGUGAUGCUUCAAAAAUUAAUCCAUCCAGUGUGCUUAGUGUGAUAAUUGUUGCAUGAGAAAAGUAGAAUGUCCAUAAAUCUUAUCCUUAUCCUUAUAAUAAUAAUCAUUUUUAAAACAUACGACAAAAAGAGAGAGAAUCUCUUCUAAUAGAGAAAUAUGAAUCCUACUUAUGGGAUAAAAUAUCUACUGAACAUUAUUAGCAACAAACACGGUAAAAAAGAUAGAGAAAAUGAUGAACCACCUCAAAAAUGACAAAUAUACCUAUAACCAAAGAAAUAUUGAAAUCAUGCAAAAAUGUGGGUAGUAUUUACACCAACUAAUGCUUCCAUAUCUGAAACAAAAUCACAAUAAUAAUAAUAAUAAUAAUAAUAAUAAUAAUAAUAAUGAUAAUUAAAUUAUUAAAAUCAAUCUUUCAAAUUUAAUUAUUGUAUGAUUUUUUUUCUUAAUAUCAGACUAACAUUAAGUUCACAUGCUCUGGCAUGAUUAGAAAAGAAGUAUGUUUGGAUAAAUUAAUUGGGCCAAAUACAUAAGCAGAUCCCUAAACUUAGUGGGUUUUUCCCUCAAGUACCUCAACUACAUCAUUUUCCUACCGAAUCAUUGAACCCCCAUAAUUUGUUCCGUUUAAACAAACACCGUUGUCUGAUGUAGAACAAGAUUUGUGAGGGAUAUUGAUAGAGGAUACAUAUGUUGUUCCACAAAUCAUUAGUCGAAUUGAUAGUGAAAAUGUUUGAGAACAAUUGUGUUUUACUUAAAUGAUUUGAACACAUUAGAAAACAAAUGAGACUAACACGGUUUGUCUUGAUUCCUUCAAUCAAAAUUAUUAUAAUUCGAACAUAAAUAAAGACAUUUACCAUAUAUAAGCUAAUCAAAAAAUCAACGAACAGUAUUUUAAAGACUCAAAUUAUGGGUGGUUCAAUGAUUCAAUUGAAAAAUGACGUAGUUGACGUACCUGAGGGAAAAAACCCAACAAGUUUAGGGAUUUGUUUAUGUAUUUGGCCAAUUAAUUAAUUUACAGAAAACUAUUUUUUGAGUGUUGAUAUCAUAUUAACUUAUUUCAUGAGAUAGAUAAUAUAUCUGUAAGUUCGGGUCAAAGUUCUUCAUGGCAUGUCAACAAUAUGUUUUCCGGCAACUGAAAUUUGUAUUUGCUAAUUUGAGGGAUAAACUUAUUUGUGCGAGAAGUAUACCCUUGAAUAUAUGGUUGUUUGAAACAAAUUUUAAACGAACAAAAAUAAAAUGCAAUCACUAAUAAAAUAUGAAGAAACAUAACUUUAUUGAUAAAUAUAGUGGGUACAAUACCAUUCCUCCCUUGAUUAUACUCUCCUAAGAUUUAUCAAUGAUUCGAGGAUCGUUUGUGGUGUAUUUCUCUAAUUAGGAUGAUAUAUAUUUGACAUUUAUAUGAAUUCCAUUAAUUUGGGGAAUGUUUGAGGUCUUGAUCUCUCUAUGGAAUUUCUAAGAUGCAUUUUAAGGGAAUUUAAUAUCCUUUAUAUUUGCAUAAACGAGGGUUUAAGGUUAUUUAGCAUCAAAGAGUCCUAAUUUGAGUUGAACACAAUUUGUAGAGUCUCAACUCGAAUUGAAUGCAUCUUUUAGAGUCCCACAAAAUUUCAAUGUGUACAAAUGACCCUGCUUGAAGCCUUGUCGGAGUGUAGACUUGAUGAAACUCGAAGACGUGGCUCGAAGUACUUAUUCUUCUUCAUUUGUAGCUUCAGAUUUGAUUUAAGAGAGAAGAGCUGAAGGGAAACUUUGGUCCCACUGGGCGUGACAAUUUGUUUGCAACAAAUUUUAAAGCGACAGAAAAUAAAUUGCAAUCACAAAUAAAAUGUGAAGAAGCAUACCUUUAUUGAUAAAUAUUACAAGUACAAUUCUAUUCCUCCUUGAUUCUACUCUCCUAUAAUUUAUCCAUGAUUUGAGGGUCACUUUUUACAUAUUUCUUGAAUUAGGAUGAUUUCGAUUUGACCUAUAUAUGAAUUUUUCAUCAAUUUGCGAAAUAUUCGAGGUCUUGAUCUCGCUAUGAAAUUUUUCGGUUGUCUUUUAAGGGAAAUCAGUAAGUUUUAUAUAGUCAUAAACAAGGGUUGAGGGUUGAGUAGCCUUCAUGAAUCCUAGUUUGAGUUGAACACAAUUUGGAGAGUCCCAGCUUGAAUUGAACACAUCUUGUAGAGUCCCAAAAAAAUUCAAAGUCUACAAUCGCUAUAAGAUGUUUUAUUGUGGAAAUACAUAUGUUCUUCUGUAUUUAUUGGUAUACAUUUAAUUUUUUUAUUUAUUUUAUUUCUUAUAUAGAUAAAUUCAAUACUUCUGUUUUCGAAACUCGUCCUUCUUUACUUACAUCCUCGACUUGAUUUACUAGCUAGCAAUAAGUUGGAAUACUUUCAAUUGUUCAAGAAUAAAAAUAUAACACUAACAUGCUCUGUAUUCUCCAUCCCAUCGUUUUUCACUUGUGAAGCCAACUAAUUGUUAUUAUUUCAUUGUGUACCCUCGUUUUAUCUCAUUGAUGAUAAAGGUGUAAUGUGAAAAAAAUUAAUGAUUGCCAUCAAACUGUGUUAUAGCUCGCAAUCUAAUUUUAGGAAAAUAUUCUAAUUCCUCCUAGCUAGGCUGGUCUAUAAUCAAAUUGUGGAACUUAUAAAAAAAGGAGCUAAAGGAAGCUAAGCUUAGUAACUUAGUUUACUAUUUACAUGUUAAUUAGUUGUAGUCUUCGUCUUCUACUUAAUAACCAUUUUAUCUAGAAGGUUCUUUUGUAAAGAUUCUCUAGUUCAUUCUAUAUUGUAUCAUAUAGUUGUUUUAAUUAUCACCUUACCAAAUGAGAAUUUAUUCUUGACAUUUCGUCAAUUGAUUUAUUGAAAAUUUGUAAUGCAGAUCAAGCUAUGAAGGAGAUGUAUUUAUCAGACCUCAAUGAUUUCUACAAGAGAAUUGCUUAUAAAGUGUUGCAGGUAUGUCAUCAACAUCCCCCUAAGUUCUUCAGCAUAGUUCCAAAUUUUGGUUGGCUCCCUUGCAUGUUUCGUAAAAUGACACACCAUAAUUUGCGUAUAUCAUGAACCAAGGUUUAAUAGAUAUUGCAUUCGAUUUAUUAUUGCCUUAUUAGAAAAUCAUCAAAUUGGAACUGGUGCAGAAAGCUCAAAACACUAAAUUAGCGGUUUUUCUUCUUUGGUUCCUUUCAUGCGGAUUAUCUUAGAGGGACAAGAUUCUUUUAUUGAUUUUAUGUAGUUUUCUAUUUGCAGACUUUGUAUGUUAUGUCAGGCCCCGAGGCUAACCCAAGACGCACAAACUGGACCUAGGAUAAUGAAUGACCCCAAGUUAACCUUGUAACACCCAAAUUUUUUCGAACUAAGACUUGAGCUGUUAGUCGUAGAGAGUGAGAGUUCACCAAGUAAUUAAAUUUUUUUGAAGUACUAAGGUCAGUCACUAGAUAUAGCACCAAGAGUUUCAAAAAGGAUUUAAUUGGAAAUAGAACACGGAGUUUAAAUGUCCUAGGAUGUCUAUGAAUUCGUGUCAGUAGGAUCUUUUUUAUGGUUGUGAGGGCCCCACUUCUAUGAAUGAGGUACUAUAGGCAUUUAAGAAAAGUUUCCCUUCUUUCAUUCUCUUAAACGUGCAAAAGAGAUAAGUGACUAAGUCAUAGAGAUCUAUUCUAACUCGUGCGUUUUCAUAUUCAUUUGAGUACCAAUCAUACUAGAGGUGGUUUAAAAAUAAAGUUAAGAGAUUCUUAUGGAUGAGCUGUUUUUAGCAAGAGUCUUGAGAAAGCCAUGAGACAUCAGAGGGGCCUAACAGGAACCCAAUAAUUGUUCAGUUUCAUAGUAAUGCACCCAUAUUCACAUCAAUCGUGCAUUUGAGCUAAAAAAGAGUUGCACUAUGUUCCCUAAACCUUUUUUCAGCUGAGAUCUUUAUGAGAGAGCAUGUUUAGAGAUUGGGUAUGAUUUCACCCCCCAAAAAAGUAAUAUGAGCUAUGAGAUCAUGAGUAGUAGUAGUGAAAGAUCCCAUAGUUAGAGGAAAGUAUGCAGAGAGUUGGUAAUUUAAGGAAGGGGGAUGGUAUUGUGACAAACUAUGUUACAAUAAUCAUGUACCUAGUAAGUUAGUAAUAAAGAGUUUUCCCUUAUGAGUAGACUAAUAAGUGAAGAGUUGUAAAGAGAUGAGGAUAGCGGUAAAGUAAGUAUUUCCAGUCAACAUGAUUUAGGAUAUACCUUAACGAAAUAGGGGUUAUAAUAAUGUGUCAUUGUGUUAGUAAUGACCAAGUGCAAGUGGUGAAUAUAUAGAAGAGCCAGAAUAUUCACAAUGUGAUAGAUUAAUCUAGGCUUAUGAAUUUUGAUAGAAGAACUUCAGAGGAUUAUAGAGUUAUUUGAGAGAUAGUGCGCAGUAUGUGAGUAGGUAGCAUUUAAGUUGGGAAGUGGAAGAUGAUGGUCACUUGAGUAUGCAGACUGAGACGUAAGGAUUGGCUAAUCAUCAUGAAGUCCUAGUGGACAACGAUUCCUAAAUUUCCAUCUUAGUAAUGUGUUAUAGUAUAGUAGGUGAGCAAUCAUAUUGACAUUCGGGUUUAUUAAGUAACAUUAAGCUAGAAUUUGAGAUGAGUUUCAUGAUCAACAAAAAUGAAAAAAAAGGGUCAUGAUGUUAGUCUUGAGAUUUGAUAUGAUAGAUUUGACAUAGAACAGGUGAGGAAUUGAGACAGUUGUUUCAAUGAAUGUGAGUAGUAGAGAACGUAACCUUUUAAUAAGCGCAGUGGUGUGACUAAGUCAUAAGAGUAGAAAGUGCAUUAAUAUAAUGUAUACCAGUUAGAGAUGUGGAAUAGGUCCAUAGCUUUCAAGUGUUAGCUUUAGACACAAGGGGAAGAUGAUAAGAUGAGAAAUCAAGUCAACUGUUUGAAGAUUUCAUAAGGAGUUCAUUCAUAGGAAUUCAUGGAAUUGUUAGAUGUCUGAGCUUGAAUGUAGUGGUAAAGAGUAAUUGUUUGAGAUGAUAUUCCAUAUAGAGAAGUAUGGAAUCAAAACAUAAAAACUUGAGUUUAACAUUGAAUAUAGUAAGAGCAGACCAUUAGACGUAGACCUUAGUAAGAGUAAACCAUUCUAUACCGAUUUCAAUCUUCAUUCGAGGAUAAAUGAUCCCAAGGGGGUGAUAUUGUAAGACCCCAGAAAAUCUUUUCGAACUAAGACUUCAGCCGUUAAUCGUAGUGAAAGAGAUUUCACCAAGAAGUUAAAAUUUUUCUUAAGUAUUAAGGUCAUGUCACUAGAAGUAGAACCAAGAUUUCUAAAAAUAAUUUAAUUGGAAAUAGCAAAAUCUGAAAUUUUGCAACUUUAGCUAAGUAUGAGAUUUGGGUCAACUUCAAAAAAUCGUACCAUCUAGAACAUGAUGAGUUAGGUGUGCUACAAGAUAUAAUAGGACAUAUCUCUGAAUUAUAUUUCCAACACCGCUGAGUUUGCUAUGUUUCGAGUUCAGAUGAGUUAGAUAUGACCUUCUGAUGUUAGUCUUUCCAAUUAAGGAAAGUUUGCCUAAAAUAUGAGGCGUAUUUCGGUUCUUUCCUUACAGAAUCAUAUUUAAUUCAUUUUUAAUAAUAUUUUAGAGUUAUAAUCCUUUUUAAGUUUCUGUUUUAAUAUCCUCAUAUACACCUAGGGUUUUAGUUGAUGUUUGAAGAAGAGGCAGGAAAAGAAAAUAGGAGAAAAGAGGCAAGGAUGAAGACAUUUGUCGAGGUUCUAGAGUUUAGUUGCAGAUUUUCGCCAUAGGUGUAAUUCCUAAUAGGUAUGUAAGAUUACAUAGUGUUUGGUUUUUUCACCCACACGCCAAUCAUUUUAUUUUUCUUAGCGAAAUUUCUUUCUUAAUGUUUAAAGAUUUGAGUUCUUGAUGAAUUUUUGAUGUUCAUUCUAAACCUUGUUGUGUUAGGGUUUUGAUGAUUUAUUAUGAUCAAAUUGAGUAAUUUUAGUGUUGUUUUCAGUACAUUAGAGUGCAAUUAAGUUAAGUAAUCAAAUCCAAGUGAUUGGGAAAGAAAUCAUUUGAUUUAGGCAAUUUAGGAUAUGAAAACGAGCAUAAGUGCUCAGCAGAAUUUUUAGGGUUGGGGCCUGGGGCCGUGCCCCUGCCAGACAGCCCCAAACUCCUCUCUAUACUUCAGGGGUUGGCACCCCGUGCAGUGGCGGAGGCAGAAAUUUUUAUUGAGGGGGUCCAAAAUAUUAGUAAGCACACUAAUAAUAUACACAAAUAAGCGAGUCGGGUCAAUUAAAAGAGGGGCGGGCACGUCAAAUAUAAACGGGUCGGAUUUGAUUUAAGAAACUAAAUAAAAUUCAACUCUACCUGAAUAUAAACUUUGCAAAUUCAAUCAAGACAUAAAAUUUGCAUUGAAAAAAUAAUAAUCAAGACGGAAUAAUAUCACAAAAAAUCUAUAAUAUAUUUAUAAAUUUUUUAAUGAUUACACCUAUUUAUUUAAUCUUACUUAUAAUUAUAUAAUUCUUUAAUAAAAUAUAAAUGAAAUGUUUGACUUAAAAUGAGUAUAAGAUAGUGUUUUUUAAAAUUUAAAUUACAUGAAAGCUUAAAUUUUUUAUAAGUUUUACUUAAUUAUAAAAAUAGAAAAGAAAAAAUAACUAAAACUAUAGAAAAAUAAUGUUGUUACCGUGAUUCGAAAUCGUGCCCCUUUAGAAAUAAAAAAUAAGAACAGAUGAAAGUUGAAAUUAUUAUAUUAAAAAAGGAUGCUAAUACACAGGUUCGAACUCGCCAAGUAAGCGCUGACCUUGUGAAAUCCUGAACCCUGUAACCACUGAGCCAAGCCCUUUCCUAGUGAUCAGGGGGUUCAUUACUUAUAUAUAACUGUAAAUCAAAAUAUUUAUCCUAUAUAUACAACAUAAUUUUUUCGACGAAGGGGGUUCGGAUGAACCCUUUUUCCCCAUGUACCUCCACCCCUGGCCCCGCACCACCCAUAUCCCAAAGGUCACCUGCCCAUCCAGUUUGCCUCAUGUUGCUUCGUUUAGCUAAUUUAAAGUGUAUUUUCCCUCAUUUUGAUUCUAAAUACUUUUAACUACUUGUAAACACUUUGAAAUCAUUCAAAACAUGAAUCAUAACCUUCAAAUAAUUAUUUAAAUUCAAGGUAAGGUCAAGAUUAAGUUUUGAGAGUUCUUCCGAACCUUUUGAGAGAAUUCCUUCGAGUCCUUUUGAGGAGUCUUCUACAAUUUCUAGUAACUUGUUUCAAUAAUAAAUUAAGUGAACAUGAGAUUGAGGAUAAUUUAUUCACGAGUCUACAAUAUCAUCUACAUCAUACAUAUCAUGAACCAUAACUCUUGAAUUUAUAAUUUAUAUUCAAGAGAGAGUUAAGAGUAGAGUUCAAGAAAGCCUUUAAGUUAAAUUGUGAAUUCUUUGAGAUCCAUUAUGAUUGAACUAUGUUUUGAGGAAGUAAACAAGAAAAUGAGUAGAUUCAUAUACAUGAAUCCAUGUAGUUAUGUAGUCCUUGAGUUGAAUUGUUCAGUCCCAUAAUGCUCAGAUUUCUGCAUGAACCCUCCAAGUAGAAAAUCAUGAAAUCAUUCAUAAAUAUGAGAUCAUAAUGCUUAAAUCCAUAAUUUAAUUCAAGAAAAGUUAAGAUCAAAGUCAAAGAAGUUAAGAGUCAAGUCUAAUAGUUAAGAAGUAAGUAAAAGUGAGUUCUUAAAGUUGUCUUGAACAAACCUUUUAACUUUGUUUUAAGACUCAAGUUACAAGUUAAGAGAGAGAGUAAAGAUUUGAGUUCAUUCUAAAAAGUUAUAAGGGGACUAAGUAAUCCUUAAGAGUUACAAAUGUUUUCACACUAAUCUCAAACCACAGAAUCAAUAUGUUUUUAAAACAUAAGAGCCAGUAUAUUUUUUGAAGUAGUAUUGAGAACCGACGUGGGGAUGCUAGUUACAGAUUAACUCAAGUCUCCAUGAAAACUAUAUACUCUUCAUGGGUAGAAAAAGGAUAAUACUAUUUAGAUGAGUCCUUUUCACAGUUUACUAGUGGAUCCAUUAAGAAGUUCACGUCCUAUACUUUGGCAAGGUUAGAAUGACCGAGCAGCGUGGGCCAGUAAUGUUGUAUCGUCACUAUAGCUCUUAAGUUAUGGUUGUCGCUUAUAGAAACUCCCACAGAGGUAAUAGUAUUUUUAUAUACACCAAUUAUUGUAUUUUCAUAUACAUUUCGGAGUUAUGUUGUAUCCUCGCUAUACGCAGAGAGUUGACAUCACGUUUUUAAACAACUUUUCUUUAUAUUGCACUUGUUUUAAAUUGUUUUAUAUUGAAAUGAUUUUAGUAAAGUAUCAGGAGUUGAGUAUAUUGAGUUAAUUUGUGCUUCAUUGAGUCGAAUAUCAUAUCUUUGAAGUUUAGAAUCUAAUCCUCGAGAUGAGUAUCUUAUUCUAGAGUUGAGUUGAAAAGAGGUAUGUGUGUUUCCUUUUAAUAAAGUUCAAACCUAUGUUUUAUGCUUUAGAUUUCCCCUUACAUUCUCUUUCAUUCCAUGUAUUGAGCCAAUUGGUCUGCAUCUUCUUAUGAUGCAGACACAGAUAUUCAGGAUGUUCAAUAAGAGCUUCGUUGAUACAUCAGAGAGUUCUAGUUAGCUAUAGUGAGCCUCCUAGCUUUCAGAGGACUUCAUGUACCUUUCAGUUUUGUCCGGAUGUCGUGGGUCUUGCAACGAGUUCCAUCUUUAUCAGUGAGAAGCUUCAUAGAUAAUCACUAUAGUUAAGGAGUCUGUAUUAUUCAUUUUUUUAUUAAAUGUUUUAAAGACUAAAGUUGCCUAUUUUUGGCUAGUUUAAUAUAUUAUUUUUAUUCAAAGUUGUUCAUUUUAGUUUUAAUUUUUAUAAGUUUAAGUUAGUAUUGCACUUGUAAUCAGCCAGGAUGAGGGUUCUCUUGGGGACCAAUAAUGUCUUCGAGUGCCUGCCACGUCCAGGGUAUAGACUCGGGUCGUGACAAACCCUAAGUUGCAUAUCAUAAGUAUACUAAACGAUUACCGAAUAAUUAUACUAUGAGGAAGCUUAAACAGUGAUAACUAAAAGUUGGGAAUGUCCAAUACUAAUCUGUAUAUAUAUAAAAGAUUAUGAGUUUAAUAAUAACUGGAGGAUCAAACUCAAAACUGGACUAUCAGAGGGCCACAAUUAUUUUAUUGAUUACGUCCCAAUAUCUUUCUCUAUGAUGUAAUAGACUACCUUGAGACUUAUGUUAGACUUUCACUAUUGUCAAACUCUUUUGUAUGAAAUGCUAUCUUUUGAACUCUUUACAUCUAUUAUCUUGUAUGAUACAUUCUAAGUGGCUUGGAUAGGGACACUCAGGGUUCUAUUUGUUAUGUUAUGCCCAACGUCUAUUUUGGAUCAUGACAUGUAAUCUCUCUAAAUUCUUACAUUCUACUUUAAUAUUUUUCUCAUAUUUUUUCAGGCUUCAAAAAUCAACCCAUCUAGUGUACUUAUUAUAUCAUGAAAAAAGUGGGAUGUCCAUAAAUCUUAUCCUUAUAUUUCUCAUAAUAAUCAGUUUUAAUAUUUCUCAUAAUAAUUAUUUUUAAUACAUACGACAAACAGAGAAAGAAUCUCUUCUAAUAAGAGAAAUAUGAAUCCUACAUUGUGGGAUAAAAUAUCUACCGAAUGCUAUUACCAACAAACAUGGUAAAAAAGAAAUAGAAAAUGGUUAACCACCUCAAAAAUGACAAAUAUAACUAUAACCAAAAAAAUAUUGAAAUCAUGCAAAAAUGUGGGUAGCAUUUACACCAACUAAUGCUUCCAUAUCUGAAAUAAAAUAAACUAAAUAAUAACAUUAAUAAUAAUAAUAAUAAUAAUAAUAAUAAUAAUAAUCAUAGUAAUAAUAAUAAUAAUGAUAAUAAAAUAAAUAAAAUUAAUCUUUGAGAUGUAAUUAUGGUAUGAUUUAUGUUCUCUUAAUAUCGGACUAAAGCUAAAUAUUUGUUACAAAUUCAAACAUAGUCAUCAUAAAAAGUUCACGUCAAAACAAAUAAAGAGAAAGUAGUGAGAAAAUCUCACAAAAAUAAUACAAUUUUGACAUAAACAUUUCCUACAAUAAAAUUGCUUUUCUCCUUCUCACAUUUUCAAAUCUCUAAUUCGUGCAUCAUUCAGAGCAUAUCCUCCCUGUCCAUGGAGAUUCAUCAACAGAAUUACCAAAUAGAAGACAAAUCAUGAAAUACAAAAAACAUACAAUAAUAGAUGACAUCUCUAAAAAAAAUAUAAAAAUCAAAAAAUUAUUUUAAGAACAAUUAUUUGUCUUUUCUUUAAAAAUUUGCACUUUUAAAAUGAUGUUCUAAAUUCACUAUUAUAUGUUAAUUUCAUAUAUGUGUUGGAUUUUAUUUGCCCUAAUUUUCUUACCAUAAAUAGGUUAUCAUUUUAGGAAAAGGAAAACAAAAUAUCUCCAUAUUUGACUAGUCUUUGUAUUGUAGGAAAGGCUUAAGGACUCUAUAAAUAUAUACUUGUUCUUCUAGCUUAAUUAGCAUUCACAAUGUAGUUCAAUGGAUUUUGAGAGUUUUGAUUAUGAGAGAGAAUUUGUGUACCUCGUUGUAUUCCGAGUAAAUUGUUUGAGGUUAUUACUCUCUAUAUUUUGUACUCACAUAUUCAUAGAGAAUUUCUCAUCUCCUUUGUGGAUGCAUGUUAAUUGACUUAACCACGUUAUAUCUUUGUGUAUUUUGCUGUAUUGAGGUUAUUACCACUUGUUAGAUCACUAGUACACAUAUUCAUAGCUUUUCUAGGGUAGCAAUCCCAUGGUUAAAAACGUUACCCAUAAUCAAUUAUAUUGAAUUAAGAUUGACUACGGAGGAUAAUAUUACAUCUACCAACAAUCAUUGUACAAAUUAAGUUCAUUCAUAACAUUGUCAUGCCCCGAGCCUAUACCAUGGGCGGGAUUGACACUCCCAAAUCAUUGCUGGCCCUAACCAAACCCUUGGCUUGUCUAGACUUUCAGCAGAAGCCAUACCAUACAUAGAAUCUAUGUAAAGACAAUCUUAACUAAAUUGUCUCAAUAAAUAAACUUAAAAUAUUUUUAAAGUAAAAUCUUAGAAACUCAAGUCUCAAAACAAAACAAUUAAAAUGAGCAACACUAAAGAACUAAUAACUAUCCAUCUAUGAAGCCUCUAAAACUAUGAGGCAUUUCGGGACAAGACCCCCAAUCAUCAUAACAACUGAAAUAACCAAGAAUACUAAAAGGGAUCCUUCGAAGAGCAAGAAGGCUCACCAAAAGGACUCGGAAGCUCAACUGGAUCAACGAAGCGCUAGAUGUUUAUCCCAGUUAGCUGUAUGGGCAUCAUAAAAUGUUGCAGGCCAAAUGACAUCAGUAUAUUGAAUGUACGAGCAUGCGAGGGAAAAACUAAACAUGACAUAAUCUUUAACUGAAAUAUGAAAGUAACACUUACCUUAUCUUUACUCAACUCAUGAAUACUAAACUCAAUGUAGAAAUAAACAACAAUAACGAUAUAGUAGUAAAUAAUAUCUCAAAGUAUUGGAGAUACAAUAACAUCUCAGUUGUAUAUAAGAAUACAAAAAUAAACUGUUUGGGAUAUUCUCUAAGCGACAACCAUCACUAUGAGUUAUGUGAUGAUACAGUAUCUCACCCACGAGUUCAGAACUUUCAUAUAACUUGUUUGGAUAUAGAACGCCUCAACUAAGUGGAUUCACUAGUCUAUGCUAAAAAGUAUUAAGGAAUUAUCUAAAAAGUAUGACCCUUUCUACCCACGUUGGUACAUGGUUUAUGAAGACUUGAGUCAUUAUGAACUCGUCCCCAUAUCGGUGCUCAAUACUAUUCCCAAAAUGUACUCAACUCAUAUGUUUAAAAACCUAACUCUAUCUUUGUGGCUUGAGGUUAUUACUCAAAAAUCUUAUCUCUUAAAAGAGAUGAAACUCAAAACUGCUAAUGAAAAAUCAUUUGGAAAUCGGUGUUUCCUCAUCUUAAAUGUGAAAAUAUUUGCUCUUUGAGAGUUCUAUGUCCCCAUACAUCAAUUUGAAGAAAUGAACUCGCUAUACUCUUUCUCAAACUCGAUGGUUAAGUCCUUUAACACAAGGUUUAAAUGAUUGUAAAGACUUUUUAAAGACUCGAAGAACUCUUUUGACUUAAUUCAUAACUCUACCUUGAAUUUGAAUCAUUGAUUCAAGGGUUAUCUCAUUUCAUAGAUGUUCUCUCGAUGUUUAAACGUACCUUAGAGUGUAAACAACUAGAAAAUAUGGGCAUGAUUCAAGAGAACUCAAACAGAAAGAAGUAGGAAAGGGUAGAGGACCUGGAGACCCUAGCGUUGUACUGAGCUACAGAGUUUAGGUUGGGGCGACUGAGUUGCGUGACACCCCUGAGCCCAAACUAUGACCUUUUUAUGCUGGCACGGUGUUCCAGCCCCUUGCCCUGAAAACCUACGAUUUUUUUGUUCAUUUUUUGACCCUAACACGUCCAGAUUCGAUUGGUUUCUUCCACCAAACACUUAGAUUCGAAUAACCAACCAAAGUAUACAAUAAUUUGCUAAUAAACAAUCUUAAAUAUCAAAAAAUCAUCUUAAGAACUCCUCCAAAACCCAAAAAUCAAGAUUCAAACAGAACUUCAACAAAAUCCAUCAAGAACUCAUAUACUCAAAUUUCCAAAAUGUGAAUACGCUGGAUUUAAUUAGGAUUGGUGUGUGGCUGAACGAGUCUAGCUUUAUGGGAUUAACCCUUGGCGAAAUCUCAAGAGCGCUACGAAAUAUUGGUUUUUCUCCUCUCUCAAAGCCCUAACAUAAUUUUGUAAUUGUCUAAAAUGAACCAAAUCAGUUUAUACGCCAAAAAAAUUACUAAAAACGAAUAAAACUAAUUGGGUGCUGAAAAGACCAAAACAUAGGUUUAUUGUUUGGCUUGCUGUGCAUGAUAGACUUAUUAUAAAAGAAAGAAUGCAAAGACUGAACAUACCUGUAGGGAAUACGUAUUGUUGCUUAUGUGAUAAGCAGGCUCAGUAAACAAACAAACACUUGUUCUGGCAGUGUAAAUAUAUAAAGGCUGUAAAACAAGGUUUAGAAACAUAGACUGGGAUCACGUUGAUUGCAGGGGAGAUGAGAGGAGUAUUACUAACUAUAAAAAGAAAGAGGUGCAACGAUUUCAAGAAGCAGAUAUUGGCAGUAACAUGGGGUGCAUGUACUAGAAAACUUGGAGGGCUAGGAAUUGGAAACAGUUUAGAGGAAGCACUAUAAUGCCAACGUGUCAUAACUCAGUUUGGAGACAACGCUUCUUCAGACUCCAAAGAGAAGUAGUCAUUUUUAAGAACAACUUACUUUCGAUAAAUCAUAUGCCUUUUCUGGCCAUGACGGAUUAGCCGAUUGGCUAAUAUAAUUUGAACAAAUCUUAGUAGAUGAAAUGGUUGUCUGAAUCUUGCUUAUUUGUUCAAUGAUGAUGAUAUUAUUGGGGGAAAACAUCAGUUGUCGUGCACACAUGAUGGUUCGUCAUCUUUCUGCUACAAACGUUGUUUGAUCUCAGAAAUUCCUUCUUGGAUGAAUCGUCUGGGCACAAAGACCGUGAAGAAGUUAUCUCGACACGCGCAGUGCAAGAGAUUUUGAAUGAAAAUACUAGGCCAAAUACUAAUAAGAGAAUAGUUGCAAAGUUUUUGUAGAAUGAGAAAGAGUUGUUCUCCACUUUUAUAAAAAAAAAAUAAUACUGGACAAGCAAACAUUAAUGAUGAAUAAAACAUGCCUCACUGCAAGUAGUUCUGUUGAGUAAUUUUUGCUCUUUAAUCACUAAUAAUAUGAUAGAAGUUAUUUUUAGAAAAGAUGAUUUUUGAGAAAAUAAAUUCAUUAUCUGAAAGAACCAACACAUUUAAAAAAUGAAAUGAAGGAUAUGAAACAAAAUAUGCUCUAAAUAAGAGUAAUAUCUUAAGCUACAAAAAAAUGUGUCUAUUAAUAUUGAUUUGUUGUCCUUUAUGUGUCAGGUAAUUGUUGAGCAUUUAAGAUAUCUAGGUUAGACUCAAUUUUAAUUUUUUAAUGUUCAAGAAUAUUUAUUUACAUGAGUGUAGAAUCCAACACUUAGAUCUAUGUGUACUUUCAUAAUACAAUAGUUAUACAUACAUAUUUCUGAAAAAGUCGUAAAGUUGCAUUGAUGAAGUAUCUAUAAGGGCCUUCAAAGCGGCAGUUUAACGAAGAAUGAUUUUCUAAAAGGUCAACAAUAUUGAAAUUGUAUAAAAUUUAUUUCUCUCAUUCUAUAAAAUUUGUUAGACUAACAAAGUAACAAUAACAAAAAUUGGUGAAUGUUUGACCUCACACAAGUAGAUUUUUAGAUGAAAAAAAAAUGUAUUGAUGUUCUUGUGUUGUACAUUUUUAACUGUUUUAACUUAUUUAUAACUAAUAUUGAUUAUCAAAAAAAUUUAAAUUAUUUUUUUUCACAAGGAGUUAUUCUAACCAUAAAAUAAUUAGAUUAUAUAUUUUUUAAAAACAUCAUUCGAUUCUAACAACACAAUUACAUCAAACAUAUAUUAUGAUAAAUUAUGUAUAAGAUUAAAAAAAUAUAUAUAUAUCAAGAUAACUUUAAUCAUUCAUUAUAUAUUUAGAAUUCUUUAAAUAUGUGAUAAUGUCAAAUCAUUUAAUUUCUGUUGAAAUGUUCUUAAGACAUACUAAAAUUUAUUUCUUUUUUUCUUAUUAUAGUCGAUAAUUGGAAAGGUUGUUCAAAAGCAUUGAAAGAUUUUUAAUGCCUACGCGAAGCGCGCGUAAAUUAACUAGUAUAAAUAAAAUAAAAUAUUUUUUGGAGAUUAUUAUCAUUGCUUGAGUGACCUAAAUUUUACAAAAACCAAAGUUGAUAGAAAAUAUUACUACUCUCUCUGUCCUAUUUCAUAUGAGUUAGUUUGAUUUGUUACAGAGUUUGAGAAUUUUUUUGUUUUUGAAUAAUAUGUUUAAAAUAAAUGAUAGAUAUUUUUGUUGUUAUAGCUCAUUUCAUCUAUAUAUCUAUAUUACCUCAAAAGCAUGAACUCCUAACUUGAAUGUUAAAUUACUAUAAUAUCCCCAACUUAGAUUGUGACUUUUUCGAUGAGUUGUGAUUUUUCUGAUAAGUUGUGACUUUUCUCAAAGGGUUGUGAAUUUUCGAUGAGUUGUUACUUUUCCAAAGAGAUGUGGUUUUUCCAAAGAGUUGUCACUUUUUCAAUAAGUUGUGAUUUUUCGAAAGGGUUGUGACUUCUUGGAAAGGUCACGAUUUUUCAGAUAAGACGCAAAAAACACUUGUUCAUACUAUCCUUUGUUGACUAUAAAUAGAGGGGUUUCCUCUCAUUUUCAACCACAAUCUUUUUAAUCUUAUACUUUUCUUCGUGCAUUUCAACAAUAUCGUGUGAUAUUUAUCGUUGAGGAUUUUGAUGUUAAGCGGAAUGUAAAUUACUACUAUUCUUAUGACUUAAGUAAAUUGUUCUAUUCUAAGAGGAUAUAUCCCUUAACCUCGAGUACUUGAGGAAAUAAUUAUGAUGAUAUUAUAAUUGUUUCUUUCCUUAGUAUAUACAUUAGUAUGUAAUGUUCCUAUAUGUGAGGUUAACAUGAUGUAGUCUAAAAUCAUUUGUUUAUGUUCUCAAUUUCUCUUGUGAUGUAAAUAUGUUUUUCUGAAUAUCUUCUUGAAAAAUUAUUUAACUUCUCAAAAGUUAGAGAAUUGUCACAGUUUUUUUUAUGCUCAAGACAAAAUAAUGAUUUUAUUUAUCAAAUCUACUUAUAUGAUUUAGACUGUCAUAAAGUUUGCUUCGAAAUAGUUAUUACCAUACAAUCAUUUUUCUUUUGUUUUAAUGAUUUACUAUUUCUUAAUAUUUAAGUACUUUCGUCAAAGAUAUGUAUAUAUGACUUGUAAUAAUGACAGUUGAAGCUUGUAUUAGUUUUUUGUUUUUGUUAACAAUUUCUCUUGUGUUAACAAUUUCUCUUGUGUUAUAGAUAUAUAGUUCUGAAUAUCUUUUUCCAAAACUUUUAGACUUCUCAAAGUUACAGAAUUGUCACAAAUUAUUUUUUGAUGCCCUAGAUAAAAUAAUUACUUUAUUUAUCAAUGUUACUUAUGUCAUUUAGAUUGUAAAGGAAGUUUGCUUCAAAAUAGUUAUUACUAUAUAUACAUUGCAAGACCCUUAACUUGACGUCAGCUGACAACUAUAACUUUUUUAACUUUUGAUGUGCACAAUGAAUACUUGUAUAAAAUUGAACAAAUAGAUACAUCCUACAUGUCACCCUACAUGGAAAUUUUGUGUCCGACAUGGCGUCCUACAUGUAUUAUGUCAUGUAAGACAUGUGUCUACUUAUUAAGUUUUAUACAAGUUUAAAUGUCUACUUGUCCAUACUCAAAGUUCGAGGACAUAAUUGUCCACCGAAUCCAAGUUAAGAGUCAAUUUUAUGUAUUAUGCCUUUAUUUUACUUAUUCACCAUUUCUUAAUAUUUCAAAUUUUUGACGAAGCAAAGUUUAUAUGACUUUUUAUUAUAGUCCAAAUUAAUUAAUUUUCUUAAUACAUUUUUUCAAAAUUAUUGAACUUCUCAAGAGUUUGACAUUAAAAAUGGGCCCUUUUGGUCAGUCUCCAUAAAUAAGGUCUUAACGGACGUCUGCCUAAAUUUUUGGUCAAAAUAAUAUUCGAAUUCCGGAUGAUAAAAAAGAUGGUGGACUAUAGCACACGAAAAUUGGCCAAAUAGGGGGUUUACCUACUCUAGGCUGGUUUGACCUGGUAAAUUGGUCGUUUUAGCCGUGGUGACCAACUAGCUCCAUAAAUAAGGUUUUAACGGACAUCCCUGUAAAUUUUUGGCAAAAAUGAAUUUGCAAUUCCAGAUGACGAAAAAAGAUGGUGAAGUAUAGCACACGAAAAUCGGCAAAAUGGGGGAUUUAACUGCUCUAUGACGUCUGUAUAAAUUUUUGGCAAAAAUAAAAUCAGAAAAUCGGAUAACCAAAAAAGAUUGUGGACUAUAACACAUAAAAAUCUGUGAAAUAGGGGGUUUACCUGCUCUAUGACUCAUUUGACCUUUAAAAUGGAUUGUUUUGGCCUUGGUGACCUACCGGCUAUAUAGAUAAGGUCUUGACGGACGUCCAUGUAAAUUUUUAGCAAAAAAUUAUUUUGGAAUUCUGGAUGAUGAAAAAAGAUGGUGGACUAUAGCACACAAAAAACUGUAAAAUAGGCUGUUUACCUGCUUUGGGACUCGUUUAACCUUGAAAAUGAGUUGUUUUAGCCGUGGGUAGUAUUAGUGAGAUAAGAAUACUUACAUGAUUUAACCUCAUCAAAUUGAAAUAAAUAUGUACAUUAUUUCAUUUCAUUAAUCAAAUUGAUCAUUAAACAUCUGUAUAGGUAUAUGCGAAUAAGAGAUAUACAUGACGAUCCACAUUGAAAAUUCACAAAAUAAUCUUUAAUAUUAUUUUGUGCAAAGAUUAUUAUUCAAAUAUUCCCUUAAAUUUUUUGAAUUGAUAAUCAAGUGCAAAACACGUGUCAAGAAUCUAGUUAAGAAUAAAGGGAUAUUUUAAAAUUGAAUUAUUACUUAAUAUUAAUAUUCUUAUUUCAUUUUUUGGACUGAUUAUAUAUAUAUAUAUAUACAUAUAUAUAUAUAUAUGACAGAGAUAUUGUUUGAGAAACUAUACAAAAAAUUAUCUCCGUAUAUAUACUAGGGUUCCAGUUAGAGUGUAAAAAGAUUGAUCAGAAUGGAGAUGAACAUUGAUAUUAACGCUCCAGGUAGUGAGAUUUCUUCUUUUUAUUCUGAUCAUUACCUAUACUUAUCUUUUUUUAUUUUCUUUUACCUUUGAUUUUACACUAUUUGUAUUACUAGAUAUUCGUAGAAAAUUGUAGUGGAUCUUCCAUUGGGAAUGUAGGAUUUGAAAUUUUCAGGUGUGGUUUAUGGGAUAUCACACUGGAGAAGGGUUUAGUUUAUGCGAACCCUGAGGUAGAAUAGGAGGGUUUUGGUAAGGAAAAGUUAUCCUUUAAGGAUCACAAUUAGGAUCUUCCAUUGGGAAUGUAGGAUUUGAAAUUUUCAUGUGUGGUUUGUGGGAUAUCACACUGGAGCAGGGUUUAGCUUAUGCAAACCUGGAGGUAGAAUGUGUGGAUUAUGUUAUGGACAAGUUAUCCUUUCAGGAUCCCAAUUAGGAUCAAACUGUAAGUUGCAAUUUUCAAAAGUAAAUCCACUUAUUUUUUUGGAGACCAUUUUCUCUAACUUAUAUAAAUUGAAAAAUGGAUGUCUAAUACAACAAAACUGAAUACUAAUUAAAUCUAAGAUAGCUUGAAGGAGUGGAUAUCCAUGUCCAAAAUUCAUAGGAGAAGAUCAAAAUUAGAGAAGAAGAGAGAGAGAAAUAAGGAAGGAAUUGAAUUACCAAAGGUUUAUUGUUGCAUUCUCUCUCCUUCUGUAUUGCAGUUUAUAUCAACGUUCAGAUGAUAUGGCGAGAUCCUGACUCUUCAGCUUCAUUAAUUGAGAUUUAAUCUUGGUCGGUUAUUUGCCAAGUAGUUACUCUCCUUCGGUGUUUCACCUUAGAAUUAAGCUAUACUAAGUAAUCUCAAUUAGUUGUCCCAGAUCCCUUGUACAUCUUAGGUGUACUCCUACUAGUGAAGUCUCUUCCUAGAUCUCAGUGUAAUAGAGGCACAUCUUGCUUUAACAUAGACUGUUGGCUCAAAAGAAAAGCAAAAAAUUGAUUGUAAUAACAAUACCAUCCAACAAAGGUGCAUUUAUGAAGGGCAAUCAAAUUUUGUGAUGGUGGUUCGUACUUUUAUAAUAGUACAGGUUAAAAGAUAGAAGAAUUAAAAUAUUUCAAAAUUUCCAUAAAAGUGGAAGCUUAAUUUUCUUAGACAUGUACAUCUGGAUGGAAGAUUGUGGUGUAGUGGUAAAUGAAGUGGUUGAAAAUCAUGAGGUCUAAUGUGCGAAUUCCAGUAAAGAAGAAAAAACCUGUAAUGACUUUUUCCAUCUUUCAUAGCAUUAGUGGACAGAGUUACCACUACACCACAAUCUUCCAUCCAGAUGUACAUGUCUAAGAAAAUUAACUCAAGUCUCCAUGAAAACUAUAUACUCUUCAUGGGUAGAAAAAGGAUUAUACUAUUUAGAUGAGUCCUUUUCACAGUUUACUAGGGGAUCCAUUAAGAAGUUCAGGUCCUAUACGCUGGCAAGGUUAGGAAGACCGAGCAGCGUGGGCCAGUAACGUCGUAUCUUUACUAUAGCUCUUAUGUUAUGGUUGUCGCUUAUAGAAACUCCCACAGAAGUAAUAGUAUUUUUAUAUACACCAGUUAUUGUAUUUUCAUACACAUUUUAGAGUUGUGUUGUAUCCUUGCUAUACGCAGAGAGUUCACAUCACGUUUUUAAACAACUUUUCUUUAUAUUUCACUUGUUUUAAACUGUUUUAUAUUGAAAUGAUUUUAGUUGAGUAUCAGGAGUUAUCUUGAGUUAAUUUGUGCUUCAUUGAGUCGAAUAUCAUAUUUUUGAAGUUUAGAAUCUAAUCCUCGAGUUGAGUAUCUUAUUCUUGAGUUGAGUUGAAAAGAGGUAUGUGUGUUUCCUUUUAAUCAAGUUCAAGCCUAUGUUUUAUGCUUUAGAUUUCCCUUACAUUCUCUUUCAUUCCAUGUAUUGAGCCAAUUGGUCUGCAUCUUCUCAUGAUGCAGACAGAGAUAUUCAGGAUGUUCAAUAGGAGCUUCGUUGAUACAUCAGAGAGUUCUAGUUAGCUAUAGUGAGCCUCCUAGCUUUCAGAGGACUUCAUGUACCUUUCAGUUUUGUCAGGAUGUCGUGGGUCUUGUACCGAGUUCCAUCUUUAUCAGUGAGAGGCUUCAUAUAUAAUCACUAUGGUUAAGGAGUCUGUAUUAAUCAUUUUUUUAUUAAAUGUUUUAAAGACUAAAGUUGCCUAUUUUUGGCUAGUUUAAUAUAUUAUUUUUAUUCAAAGUUGUUCAUUUUAGUUUUAAGUUUUGUACGUUUAAGUUAGUAUUCCACUUGUAAUCAUCCAGGAUGAGGGUUCUCUUGGAGACCAACAAUGGUCUUCGAGUGCCUGCCACGUCCAGGUUGUAGACUCUUGUCGUGACAAACCCUAAGUUGCAUAUCAUAAGUAUACUAAACGAUUACCAAAUAAUUAUAAUAUGAGGAAGCUUAAAUAGUGAUAACUAAAAGUUGGAAAUGUCCAAUACUAAUCGGUAUAUAUAAAAGAUUAUGAGUUUAAUAAUAACUGGAGGAUCAAACUCAAAACUGGACUAUCAGAGGGCCACAAUUAUUUUAUUGAUUUUAGGUCUUUUUCUAUUUUCAGACUUCUUAUGUGAUGUAUGGAUUACGUCCCAAUAUCUUUGUCUAUGAUGUAAUAGACUGCCUUGAGACUUAUGUUAGACUUCCACUAUUGUCAAACUCUUUUGUAUGAAAUGCUAUCUUUUGAACUCUUUACAUCUAUUAUCUUGUAUGAUGCAUUCUAAGUGGAUUGAAUAGGGACACCCGGUGUUCUAUUUGUUAUGUUAUGCCCAACGUCUAUUUUGGAUCAUGACAUGUAAUCUCUCUAAAUUCUUACAUUCUACUUUAAUAUUUUUCUCAUAUUUUUUCAGGCUUCAAAAAUCAACCCAUCUUGUGUACUUAUUGUAUCAUGAAAAAAGUGGGAUGUCCAUAAAUCUUAUCCUUAUAUUUCUCAUAAUAAUCAUUUUAAAUAUUUCUCAUAAUAAUCUUUUUUAAUACAUACGACAAACAGAGAAAGAAUCUCUUCUAAUAAGAGAAAUAUGAAUCCUACAUUGUGGGAUAAAAUAUCUACCGAAUGCUAUUAACAACAACAUGGUAAAAAAGAAAUAGAAAAUGGUUAACCACCUCAAAAAUGAUAAAUAUAACUAUAACCAAAAAAAUAUUGAAAUCAUGCAAAAACGUGGGUAACAUUUACACCAACUAAGGCUUCCAUAUCUGAAAUAAAAUAAAAUAAAAUAAAUAAUAAUAAUAAUAAGAAGAAGAAGAAGAAGAAGAAGAAGAAUAAUAAUAAUAAUAAUAGUAAUAAUAAUAAUAAUAAUAAUAAUAAUAAUCAUAGUAAUAAUAAUAAUUAUGAUAAUAAAAUAAAUAAAAUUAAUCUUUGAGAUGUAAUUAUGGUAUGAUUUAUGUUCUCUUAAUAUCGGACUAAAGCUAAAUAUUUGUUACAAAUUCAAACAUAGUCAUCAUAAAAGGUUCACGUCAACACAAAUAAAGAGAAGGUAGUGGAAAAUCUCACAAAAAUAAUACAAUUUUGACAUAAACAUUUCCUACAAUAAACUUGAUUUUCUCCUUCUCACAUUUUCAAAUCUCUAAUUCGUGCGUCAUUCAGAGCAUAUCUUCCCUAUCCAUGGAGAUUCAUCAGCAGAAUUACCAAAUAGAAGACAAAUCAUGAAAUACAAAAAACAUACAAUAAUAGAUGACAUCUCUAAAAAAAUAUAAAAAUGGAAAAAUUAUAUUAAGAACAAUUAUUUGUCUUUUCUUUAAAAAUUUGCACUUUUAAAAUGAUGUUCUAAAUUCACUAUUAUAUGUUAAUUCAUAUAUGUGUUGGAUUUUAUUUGCCCUGAUUUUCUUACCAUAAAUAGGUUAUCAUUUUAGGAAAAGGAAAACAAAAUAUCUCCAUAUUUGACUAGUCUUUGUAUUGUAGGAAAGGCUUAAGGACACUAUAAAUAUAUGCUUGUUCUUCUAGCUUAAUUAGCAUUCACAAUGUAGUUCAAUGGAUUUUGAGAGUUUUGAUUAUGAGAGAGAAUUUGUGUACCUCCUUGUAUUCCGAGUAAAUUGUUUGAGGUUAUUACUCUCUAUAUUUUGUACUCACAUAUUCAUAGAGAACAUCUCCUUUGUGGAUGUAUGUUAAUUGACUUAACCACGUUAAAUCUUUGUGUAUUGAGGUUAUUACCACUUGUUAGACCACUAGUUCACAUAUUCAUAGCUUUUCUAGGGUAGCAAUCCCAUGGUUAAAAACGUUACCCAUAAUCAAUUAUAUUGAAUUAAGAUUGACUACGGAGGAUAGUAUUACAUCUUCCAACAAUCAUUGUACAAAUUAAGUUCAUUCAUAACUUUGUCACGCCCCGAGCCUAUACCAUGGGCGGGAUUGACACUCCCAAAUCAUUGCUGGCCCUAACCAAAUCCUUGGUCUGUCUAGACUUUCAGCAGAAGCCAUACCAUACAUAGAAUCUAUUUAAAGACAAUCUUAACUCAAUUGUCUCAAUAGAUAAACUUAAAAUAUUUUUAAAGUGCAAGUCUUAAAACAAAACAACUAAAAUGAGCAACACUAAAGAACUAAUAACUAUCCAUCUAUGAAGCCUCUAAAACUAUGAGGCAUGUCGGGACAAGACCCCCAAUCAUUGUAACAACUGAAAUAACCAUGAAUACUAAAAGGAAUCCUUCGAAGAGCAAGAAGGCUCACCAAAAUGACUCGGAAGCUCAACUGGAUCAACGAAGCGCUAGAUAUUUAACCUAGCUACUUGUAUGGCAUCAUAAAACGUUGCAGGCCAAAUGACAUCAUUAUAUUGAAUGUACGAGCAUGCGAGGGGAAAACUAAACAUGACAUAAUCUUGAACUGAAAUAUUAAAGUAACACUUACCUUAUCUUUACUCAACUCAUGGAUACUAAACUCAAUGUAGAAAUAAACAACAAUAAAGAUAUAGUAGUAAAUACUAUCUCAAAGUAUUGGAGAUACAAUAACAUCUCAGUUGUAUAUAAGAAUACAAAAACAAACUGUUUGGGAUAUUCUCUGACCGACAACCAUCACUAUGAGUUAUGUGAUGAUACAGUAUCUCGCCCACGAGUCCAGAACUUUCAUAUAACUUGUUUGGAUAUAGAACGCCUCAACUAAGUGGAUUCACUAGUCUAUGAUAGAAAGUAUUAAGGAAUUAUCUAAAAAGUAUGACCCUUUCUACCCACGUUGGGUACAUGGUUUAUGAAGACUUGAGUCAUUAUGAACUCGUCCCCAUAUCGGUGCUCAAUACUAUUCCCAAAAUGUACUCAACUCAUAUGUUUAAAAACAUAACUCUACCUUUGUGGCUUGUGGUUAUUACUCAAAAAUCUUAUCUCUUAAAAGAGAGGAAACUCAAAAUAAUCAUGAAAAAUCAUUCGAAAAUCAGUGUUUCCUCCUCUUAAAUGUGAAAAUACUUGCUCUUUGAGAGUACUUAGUCCCCAUACAUCAAUUAGAAGAAAUGAACUCGACUGUACUCUUUCUCAAACUCGAUGGUUAAGUCCUUUAACACAAGGUUUAAAUGAUUGUAAAAGACUUUUUAAAGACUCAAAGAACUCUUUUGACUUAAUUCAUAACUCUACCUUGAAUUUGAAUCAUUGAUUCAAGGGUUAUGAUCUCAUUUCAUAGAUGUUCUCUCGAUGUUUAAACGUACCUUAGAGUGUAAACAACUAGAAAAUAUGGGCAUGAUUCAAGAGAACUCAAACAGAAAGAAGUAGGAAAGGGUAGAGGACCUGGAGACCCUAGCGUUGUACUGGACUACAGAGUUUGGGUUGGGGCGACUGAGUGGUGUGACACCCCAGAGCCCAAAAAACCUAUGAUUUUUUUUGUUCAUUUUUUGACCCUAACACGUCCAUAUUCGAUUGGUUUCUUCCACCAAACACUUAGAUUCGUCAAUAAUUUGCUAAUAAACAAUCUUAAAUAUCAAAAAAAUCAUCUUAAGAACUCCUCCAAAACCCAAAAAUCAAGAUUCAAACAGAACUUCAACAAAAUCCAUCAAGAACUCAUAUACUCAAAUUUCCAAAAUGUGAAUAUGCUGGAUUUAAUAAGGAUUGGUGUGUGGCUGAACGAGUCCAGCUUUAUGUGAUCUCACAUACCUCAUAGGGAUUAACCCUUGGCAAAAUCUCAAGAGCGCUACGAAACAUUGGUUUUUCUCCUCUCUCAAAGCCCUAAAAUAAUUUUGUAAUUGUCUAAAAUGAACCAAAUCAGUUUAUACCCCAAAAAAAUUAUUAAAACGAAUAAAACUAAUUGGAUGCUGAAAAGACCAAAACAUAGGUUUAUUGUUUGGCUAGCUGUGCAUGAUAGACUUCUUACAAAAGAAAGAAUGCAAAGACUGAAAAUACCUAUAGGGAAUACGUAUUGUUGCUUAUGUAAUAAGCAGGCUCAGGAAACAAACAAACACUUGUUCUGGCAGUGUAAAUAUAUAAAAGCUGUAAAACAAGGUUUAGAAACAUAGACUGGGAUCACGUUGAUUGCAGGGGAGAUGAGAGGAGUAUUACUAACUAUAAAAAGAAAGAGGUGCAACGAUUUCAAGAAGCAGAUAUUGGCAGUAACAUGGGGUGCAUGUAUUAGAAAACUUGGAGGGAUAGGAAUUGGAAACAAUUUAGAGGAAGCACUAUAAUGCCAGUGUGUCAUAACUCAGUUUGGAGACAACGCUUCUUCAGACUCCAAAGAGAAGUAGUCAUUUUUAAGAACAACUUACUUUCGAUAAAUCACAUGCCUUUUUCUGGCCAUGACGGAUUAGCCGAUUGGCUAAUAUAAUUUGAACAAAUCUGAGCAGAUGAUAUGGUUGUCUGAAUCUUGCUUAUUUGUUCAAUGUUGAUGAUAUUAUUGGGGGAAAACGUCAGUUGUCAUGCACACAUGAUGGUUCGUCAUCUUUCUGCUACAAACGUUGUCUGAUCUCAGAAAUUCCUUCAUGGAUGAAUCGUCUAGGCACAAAGACCGUGAAGAAGUUAUCUCGACACACGCAGUGCAAGAGAUUUUGCAUGAAAAUACUAGGCCAAAUACUAAUAAGAGAAUAGUUGCAAAGUUUUUGUGGAAUGAGGAAGAGUUGUUUUCCACUUUUAUAAAAAAAAAUAAUACUGGACAAGCAAACAUUAAUGACAAAUAAAACUUGCCUCACUGCAAGCAGUUCUGUUGAGUAAUUUUUGCUCUUUAAUCACUAAUAUUAUGAUAGAAGUUAUUUUUAUAAAAGAUGAUUUUUGAGAAAAUAAAUUCAUAAUCUGAAAGAACCAACACAUGUAAAAAAUGAAAUGAAGCACCUAAGUAAAGAUUGAUUCAGUCAUGGAUCGGCUGAUUGUUGUUCUCCUAAUUUGGAAAUACUUCGGCUAAUUCAAGUUGUGCCCCUUGAGAAGCUUCCGGACCUAUUGUGUUGUGCUUUCCAAUUGAUUGAAUUUGGUACACAGCUCCCUACUCUUCAGAGAAAUGUCUGAUCUUUCUUCGAACCACAUAGAAGCUCUUUCAGGCUGUAAGAGACUUUAAAGGCAUGAUAGCCUUAAAGGCAAGAAAUAUAAGAGAAGCACACAAAAUUCUACAUGUUAAUCAUCUUACAGCGAUAUCUAAGAUAAAAUUCAUGAUAUGUUAUAUGCAGGUUGGAAGAUUCAAGGCUCUAAAACCCAUCUACGUGGCGCCACUACAAGCCAAGAUUCCCUUUUAAUUCAUCUUAUUUUCAAAAUUAACUUUCCCCAUUCAUGAAAAAUUGUCACUUUUAUGAAAAAUUGUCACUUAUAUGAGAAGUUGAGACUUUUAUGAAAAGUUACGAUUUUUAUAAAAGGCUAUCACCUUUUCGAAAGGUUGUAACUUUUACAAAGAGCUGUUACCUUUCUGAUAAGACACAAUAAAUAUUUGUUCACACUACCUUAUAAAUAGAGGAAUUUCCUCUCAUUUUAAAACAACGAAAAUUUUAAACUUCUUCUUCUUCAUCUGGACAAUUAAGUAAUUGUGUACUUUACUCCUAUUGAAUGACUCACUGACACCAUUGUUUUUAUAUCAAUACACUGGUGAAUAUAAUUUUCUUCCCUGAGAGUAUCUAUUCCUUUAAAUCUGGGGUACAAGAAGAGAAUAAUUUCCUUAAGAGGAUAUUGUAAAUUCAGUGGACUUGAUUUUUUCCAUUUUGUUUCAUUCUAUUGUUACAAAUCCUUUAUGUUUUGUACAAAUAUUAAUUUAUGCUUAUAUUAUUAAUUUUUAUUUUUCUAAACAUGUUUUAAAUUUUGUUAUUUAUGUUUCCGCAAAAUUAUUUUUAUAAGUAUUUUUUUAGUACAGAUCGAAUAACAAAAGAUAAUUGAGUAUUCAAGCAAGUUUUUUUCCUGGAAUUGUUAAAGGUACAAUAAAAAAGCCCUUACAAAUUUCUAAUUUUUUUUUUUAUGACAAGGGAAACUCGCAGCCGCUACCUUUUGGAUGUGUAUGUUCUUUAGAAAAUCCUCUGAGAGUUAUCUAAUUUGCAUGCUCAUCUUUUUGUUUUUAUUUAGUUAUCUAUUUUUUUAUCACUGAAUAAUAUGAGUAGUUUAAUGAUUGAAAGUUGAUUGAAGUAAUAGCCAAUAUUUUGAGGUAUGCAAUUUAAAAACAUGAGAACUUUUAUAGUUAGAAUAAUUUCUCAUCAUGACUGUAUAUCUAAUAGUUUACUCCCUUUACUGUAUGUUUUUUUAUCGUUGUUUUGUUGUCUCCUUAAAGUUAUAUUGAUUAUUUUUCAAUGUGAUCUCAAUUGGACAAAACUUUCGUUCUUUAAUGUUUUUCUUUUUUCCCUUCUCAUUCAACUCUUCUAAAUAUUUUUUGUGUGAGUUAUGACUAUUUUCGGCAAGCUUAAUUUGAAGAAUAUGAAACAAAAUAUGCUCUAAAAAAGAGUAAUAUCUUAAGCUACAAAAAAAUGUGUCUAUUAAUAUCGAUUUGUUGUCCUUUAUGUGUCAGGUCAUUGUUGACCAUUUACGAUAUCUAGGUUAGACACAUUUUUAAUUUUUUAAUGUUCAAGAAUAUUUUUUACAUGAGUGUAGAAUCCAACACUUAGAUCUAUGUGUACUUUCAUAAUACAAUAGUUAUACAUACAUAUUUCUAAAAAAAUCGUAAAGUUGCAUUGAUGAAGUAUCUGUAAGGGCCUUCAAAGCGGCAGUUUAACGAAGAAUGAUUUUCUAAAAGGGUCAACAUUAUUAUUUUGAUGUUGUAUAAAAUUUAUUUCUCUCAUUCUAUAAAUUUUGUUAGACUAACAAAGUAACAAUAAAAAAAUUUUGUGAAUGUUUGACCUCACACAAGUAGAUUUUUAGAAGAAAAAAAAUUAUUCAUGUUCUUGUGCUGUACAUUUUUAACUGUUUUAACUUAUUUAUAACUAAUAUUGAUUAUCAAAAAAAUUUAAAUUAUUUUUUUUCACAAGGAGUUAUUCUGACCAUAAAAUAAUCAGAUUAUAUAUUCUUUAAAAACAUCAUUCAAUUCUAACAAACCAAUUAUAUCAAACAUAUAUUAUGAUAAAUUAUGUAUAAGAUUAAAAAAAAUUAUAUAUCAAGAUAACUUUAAUCAUUCAUUAUAUAUUUAGAAUUCUUGUAAUAUAUGAUAAUGUCAAAUCAUUUAAUUUCUGUUGAAAUGUUCUUAAGACAUACGAAGAUUUAUUUCUUUUUUUCUUAUUACAGUCGAUAAUUGGAAAGGUUGUUUAAAAGCAUUGAAAGAUUUUUAAUGCCUACGCGAAGCGCGCGUAAAUUAACUAGUAUAAAUAAAAUAAAAAAAAUUUUUGAAGAUUAUUAUCAUUGCUUGAGUGACCUAAAUUUUACAAAAACCAAAGUUGAUAGAAAAUAUUACUACUCUCUCUGUCCUAUUUCAUAUGAGUUAGUUUGAUUUGUUACACAGUUUGAGAAUUUUUUUGUUUUUGAAUAAUAUGUCUAAAAUAAAUGAUAGAUAUUUUUGUUGUUAUAACUCAUUUCAUCUAUAUAUCUAUAUUACCUUAAAAGCAUGAACUCCUAACUUGAAUGUUAAAUUACUAUAAUAUCCCCAACUUAGAUUGUGACUUUUUCGAUGAGUUGUGGUUUUUCUGAUAAGUUGUGACUUUUCUCAAUGGGUUGUGAAUUUUCGAUGAGUUGUUACUUUUCCAAAGAGAUGUGGUUUUACCAAAGAGUUGUGACUUUUUCAAUAAGUUGUGAUUUUUCGAAAGGGUUGUGACUUCUUGGAAAGGUCAUGAUUUUUCAGAUAAGACACAAAAAACACUUGUUCAUACUAUCCAUUAUUAACUAUAAAUAGAGGGGUUUUCUCUCAUUUUAAACCACAAUCUUUUUAAUCUUAUACUUUUCUUCGUGCAUUUCAACAAUAUCAUGUGAUUAUUAUCGUUGAGGAUUUUGAUGUUAAGAGGAAUAUAAAUUACCACUAUUCUGAUGACUUAAGUAAAUUGUUCUAUUCUAAGAGGAUAUGUCCCUUAACCUCGAGUACUUGAGGAAAUAAUUAUGAUGAUAUUAUAAUUGUUUCUUUCCUUAGUAUAUACAUUAGUAUGUAAUGUUCCAAUAUGUGAGGUUAACAUGAUGCAGUCUAAAAUCAUUUGUUUAUGUUAUCAAUUUCUCUCGUGAUGUAAAUAUGUGUUUCUGAAUAUCUUCUCGAAAAAUUAUUUAACUUCUCAAAAGUUAGAGAAUUGUCACUUUUUUUUUAUGCUCAAGACAAAAUAAUGAUUUUAUUUAUCAAAUCUUCUUAUAUGAUUUAGACUGUCAGAAAGUUUGCUUCAAAAUAGUUAUUACCAUACAUUCAUUUUUCUUUUGUUUUUUACUGAUUUACUAUUUCUUAAUAUUUAAGUACUUUCGUCAAAGAAAUGUAUAUAUGACUUGUAAUAAUGACAGUUGAAGCUUGUAUUAGUUUUUUGUUUUUGUUAACAAUUUCUCUUGUGUUAUAGAUAUAUAGUUCUGAAAUUUUUUUUUCAAAACUUUUAGACUUCUCCAAGUUACAGAAUUAUCACAAAUUCUUUUUUGAUGCCCUAGAUAAAAUAAUUACUUUAUUUAUCAAUGUUACUUAUGUCAUUUAGAUUGUAAGGAAGUUUGCUUCAAAAUAGUUAUUACUAUAUAUACAUUGCAAGACCUUUAACUUGACGUCAGCUGACAACUAUAACUUUUUUAACUUUGGAUGUGCACAAUGGACACUUGUAUAAAAUUGAACAAAUAGAUACAUCCUACAUGGAAAUUUUGUGUCCGACAUGGCGUCCUACACGUAUUAUGUCAUGUAAGACAUGUGUCUACUUAUUAAGUUUUAUACAAGUUUAAAUGUUUACUUGUCCAUACUCAAAGUUCGAGGACAUAAUUGUCCGCCAAAUCCAAGUUAAGAGUCAAGUUUAUGUAUUAUGCCUUUAUUUUACUUAUUUACCAUUUCUUAAUAUUUCACAAUUUUUGACGAAGCAAAGUUUAUAUGACUUUUUAUUGUAGUCCAAAUUAAUUAAUUUUCUUAAUAUAUUUUUUCAAAAUUAUUGAACUUCUCAAGAGUUAGAGAAUUAUCACAUAUUUUUUUGAUACUCAAGACAAAAGAAUGAUUUUAUUUAUUAGUGUUAAUUAUGUGACUUAGAUUGUAAGGAAGUUUGAUUAAAAUAGCUAUUACUCUAUAGAAAUUGCCCUUUUGUUUUACUAAUUUACUAUAUUUUUGUCGAAGAAAAAAAGUUCAUAUUUCAGCAUUUAUAUAUGUCACAGAUGUAUUAUCUAAUUAAGAAGAUUCCUAACUUCAUAACAUAUUAUUUUAAAAUUUUGUGAUUUCCUUUUUUAAGAAAAAACUCACGAAAAUCUAAAAAUAUAUGAGUAUAGAUGAGUCAAAUGACAUCUCCACAUGUUCAUGACAUCAAAAUAGAUUCAGUUGAAUACAUGUGCAAAUACAUCUGAUGAGAUGACAAGAAAAACAUACAACAAAUAUCGUUUAUAAGGUAAUAUUAGUGAGAUAAGACUACUUAUAUGAUUCAACCUCAUCAAAUUAAAAUAAAUAUGUAUAUUAUUUCAUUUAACUAAUAAAAUUGUUCAUUUAUCAUUUUUAUAGGUUUGUGCGAAUAAGAAAUAUACAUGACCAUCCACAUUCACAAAAGAAUCUGUAAUAUUGUUUUGUGCAAAACUUAUUAUUCAAACCUUCGCUUAAUUUUUUGAAUUGAUAAUCACGUGUAAAAAAUCUAAUUUAGUAUAAAAGGGACAUUUUAAAUUUAAAUUAUUACUUAACUAGGUAAUUUGCCUGCGCUUCGCGCAGUCAUAAAUAAUAAUUGCAUUGAACUUGAAAAUAAUUUUUUUUCUAAUAUCCAUACAUUAAAAAUAAUGGAAAAUUAGGUUCUUAAAAAAUAUUAGCAACGUUUCAAAAUGAAUUUAAUUAUUUGUCGUUAUCGCAUAACUCAAGAACCUCUACUAAAUGAACAAAUCAUAAAAUAAUAAAUCAUUGAUUCUUUAAUCAACAUUAAAGGAAAUAAAGAAGUAAAUAAAAAUAUAUAUACAAAGGCAUUUUCUAAUAAAAAGAAACACUUAAGUUGCAUAGUGAUAUAUGUCUUAGGAGAAAAUUCAAAAAUGUUAGCAUAUUUAAAAAGGAAAUCAUGCUUGAACAUGAAAGCAAUUAAAACUUUUGAACUUGCAUAAUGAAUUUCUUCAAUUGAUAAGUGAGAAAAUUUAUAUCUAUGUAAAAUUAGAUAAUAUGUAAGGUUAUAUAAAUACAUCUUUUUCUAAUAUCGAUACAUUACAAGUAAUGAAACACAGAUUCUUAAAAAGAUAUUAGCAAUGUUCCAGCAUGAAUUUAAUUAUUUGUUGUUACCGCAUAACUCAAGAACCUCUACUGAAUGAAUCAAUCACUAAAUAAUAAAUCAUUGGUUCUUUAAUCAACAUUAAAAGGAAAAUAAAGAAGAAAAUAAGAAUAUAUAUACACCAACAUUUCCUAAUAAAAAGAAACAUUAAGUUGCAUAAAUUAUACAAUUGUGAUAUAUGUCUUAGGAAAAAAUUAAAAAAUGUUAACAUAUUUAAAAAGGAAAUCACGCUCGAACAUGAAAGCAAUUAAAAUUUUGAACUUGCAUAAUGAAUUUCUUCAAUUGGCAAGUGAGAAAUUUCAUGUCUAUGUAAAAAUAGAUAGUAUGUAAGGUUAUAUAUAGUACUUUUAAAUUAGAAUUAAAUAUAGAAUAUCACACCAUGAAUUCUUGAAACUGAGUACAAUAAUAAUUUUCUGCACAAUGAAUAUACGUACGAUAUGUGUAUAUAUUAAAUCUAACCGGAGAUAAUAACUUUGAAAAAAAACAUAAACAAUAGAGUUUAAAUAUGUACUCAAAAACAACAAUUAAUAUCAUAAACAUAAAAUAAUUAGUGUAAAAAUACAUACCAAGAUAUGUAAAAAUAGAAUAAUAUAGAAAGAAAAAAAUGGAGUCCACUUAAUGCACAAUGUACCCCUUUAAGAUAAAACUAUUCGCCUCCAAUACAAGAGGUUUAAAAUACAUCUUCUCAGGAUGGAACGAUUUUAUUCACAAACUUACUGAUGCAAAAACAAUGGUGUUAGUAAGUAACUAAACAUGAACAAAGUACACGAGUAUAUUAAAUUUUGCGCAUGUAGAAGAAGAAGAUCAGAAUUUUUGUUGUUAUAACUCAUUUCAUCUAUAUAUCUAUAUUACCUUAAAAGCAUGAACUCCUAACUUGAAUGUUAAAUUACUAUAAUAUCCCCAACUUAGAUUGUGACUUUUUCGAUGAGUUGUGGUUUUUCUUAUAAGUUGUGACUUUUCUCAAAGGGUUGUGAAUUUACGAUGAGUUGUUACUUUUUCAAAGAGAUGUGGUUUUCCAAAGAGUUGUGACUUUUUCAAUAAGUUGUGAUUUUUCGAAAGGGUUGUGACUUCUUGGAAAGGUCAUGAUUUUUCAUAUAAGACGCAAAAAACACUUGUUCAUACUAUCCUUUGUUGACUUUAAAUAGAGGGGUUUCCUCUCAUUUUCAACCACAAUCUUUUUAAUCUUAUACUUUUCUUCGUGCAUUUCAACAAUAUCGUGUGAUUAUUGUCGUUGAGGAUUUUGAUGUUAAGCGGAAUAUAAAUUACCACUAUUCUGAUGACUUAAGUAAAUUGUUCUAUUCUAAGAGGAUAUGUCCCUUAACCUCAAGUACUUGAGGAAAUAAUUAUGAUGAUAUUAUAAUUGUUUCUUUCCUUAGUAUAUACAUUAGUAUGUAAUGUUCCAAUAUGUGAGGUUAACAUGAUGUAGUCUAAAAUCAUUUGUUUAUGUUAUCAAUUUCUCUCGUGAUGUAAAUAUGUGUUUCUGAAUAUCUUCUCGAAAAAUUAUUUAACUUCUCAAAAGUUAGAGAAUUGUCACAGUUUUUUUUUUAUGCUCAAGACAAAAUAAUGAUUUUAUAUAUCAACUCUACUUAUAUGAUUUAGACUGUCGGAAAGUUUGCUUCAAAAUAGUUAUUACCAUACAAUCAUUUUCCUUUUGUUGUACUGAUUUACUAUUUCUUAAUAUUUAAGUACUUUCGUCAAAGAUAUGUAUAUAUGACUUGUAAUAAUGACAGUUGAAGCUUGUAUUAGUUUUUUUGUUUUUGUUAACAAUUUCUCUUGUGUUAUAGAUAUAUAGUUUUGAAUAUCUUUUUCCAAAACUUUUAGACUUCUCAAAGUUACAGAAUUAUCACAGAUUCUUUUUUGAUGCCCUAGAUAAAAUAAUUACUUUAUUUAUCAAUGUUAUUUAUGUCAUUUAGAUGGUAAGGAAGUUUGCUUCAAAAUAGUUAUUACUAUAUAUACAUUUCAAGACCCUUAAUUUGACGUCAGCUGACAACUAUAACUUUUUUAACUUUGGAUGUGCACAAUGGACACUUGUAUAAAAUUGAACAAAUAGAUACAUCCUACAUGUCACCCUACAUGAAAAUUUUGUGUCGACAUGGCGUCCUACAUGUAUUUUGUCAUGUAAGACAUGUGUCUACUUGUUAAGUUUUAUACAAGUUUAAAUGUCUACUUGUCCAUACUCAAAGUUCGAGGACAUAAUUGUCCGCCGAAUCCAAGUUAAGAGUCAAGUUUAUGUAUUAUGCCUUUAUUACUUAUUUACCAUUUCUUAAUAUUUCACAAUUUUUGACGAAGCAAAGUUUAUAUUACUUUUUAUUGUAGUCCAAAUUAAUUAAUUUUGUUACUAUAUUUUUUCAAAAUUAUUGAACUUUUCAAGAGUUUGACAUUGAAAAUUGGCCCUUUUGGACAGUCUCCAUAAAUAAGGUCUUAACGGAUGUCUGCCUAAAUUUUUGGCAAAAAUAAUAUUCGAAUUCUGGAUGAUAAAAAAGAUGGUGGACUAUAGCAAACAAAAAUUGGCAAAAUAGGGGGGUUUACCUACUCUAGGCUCGUUUGACCUGGUAAAUUGGUUGUUUUGGCCGUGGUGACCAACUAGCUCCAUAGAUAAGGUUUUAACGGACAUCCCUGUAAAUUUUUGGCAAAAAUAAACUUGCAAUUCCAGAUGACGAAAAAAGAUGGUGGAGUAUAGCACACGAAAAUCGACAAAAUGGGGGAUUUACCUCCUCUAUGACUAGUUUGACCUUGAAAUUGGGUUGUUUUUACCGUGGUGACCAACCGAAUCCAUAGAUAAGGUUUAACGGACAUCUGUAUAGAUUUUUGGCAAAAAUAAAAUCGAAAUAUCGGAUGACCAAAAAAGAUUGUGGACUAUAACAUAUAAAAUUCUGUGAAAUAGGGGGUUUACCUGCUCUAUGACUCAUUUGACCUUGAAAAUGGAUUGUUUUGGCCUUGAUGACCUACCGGCUAUAUAGAUAAGGUCUUGACGGACGUCCGUGUAAACUUUUAGCAAAAAUUAUUUUGGAAUUCUGGAUGAUGAAAAAAGAUGGUGGACUAUAGCACACAAAAAUCGUUAAAAUGGGGUGUUUACCUGCUUUGAAACUCGUUUGACCUUGAAAAUGAGUUAUUUUAGUCGUGGGUAGUAUUAGUGAGAUAAGAAUACUUACAUGAUUUAACCUCAUCAAAAAAAUUGAAAUAAAUAUGUAUAUUAUUUCAUUUCAUUAAUAAAAUUGAUCAUUAAACAUCUGUAUUGGUAUAUGCGAAUAAGAGAUAUACAUGACGAUCCACAUUGAAAAUUCACAAAAUAAUCUUUAAUAUUAUUUUGUGCAAAGCUUAUUAUUCAAAUAUUCGCUUAAAUUUUUUGAAUUGAUAAUCAAGUGCAAACACGUGUCAAGAAUCUAGUUAAGAAUAUAGGGACAUUUUAAAAUUGAAUGAUUACUUAAUAUUAAUAUAUUUUUUUCAUUUUUUGGACUGAUUAAAAAGAAAAGUAACUAAUAUUAUAUAUAUAUAUAUAUAUAUAUAUAUAUAUAUAUAUAUAUAUGACUGAGAUACUGUUUGAGAAACUAUACAAAAAAUUAUCUCUGUAUAUAUUCUAGGGUUCCAGUUAGAGUGUAAAAAGAUUGAUCAAAAUGGAGAUGAACAUUGAUAUUAACGCUCCAGGUAGUGAGAUUUCUUCUUUUUAUUCUGAUCAUUACCUGUACUUGUCUUUUUUUAUUUUCUUUUACCUUUGAUUUUACACUAUUUGUAUUACUAGAUAUUCGUAGAAAAUUGUAGUGGAUCUUCCAUUGGGAAUGUAGGAUUUGAAUUUUUCAGGUGUGGUUUAUGGGAUAUGACACUGGAGAAGGGUUUAGUUUAUGGGAACCCUGAGGUAGAAUGGGUGGGUUUUGGUAAGGAAAAGUUAUCCUUUAAGGAUCACAAUUAGGAUCUUCCAUUGGGAAUGUAGGAUUUGAAAUUUUCAUGUGUGGUUUGUGGGAUAUCACACUGGAGCAGGGUUUAGCUUAUGCGAACCUGGAGGUAGAAUGUGUGGAUUUUGUUAUGGACAAGUUAUCCUUUCAGGAUCCCAAUUAGGAUCAAACUAUAAGUUGCAAUUUUCAAAAGUAAAUCCACUUAGUUUUUUGGAGACCAUUUUCUAUGACUUAUAUAAAUUGAAAAAUGGAUAUCUAAUACAACAAAAUUGAAUACUAAUUAAAUCUAAGAUAGCUUGAAGGAGUGGAUAUCCAUGUCCAAUAUGCGUAGGAGAAGAUCAAAAUUAGAGAAGAAGAGAGAGAAAAAUAAGGAAGGAAUUGAAUUACCAAAGGUUAUUGUUGCAUUCUCUCUCCUUCUGUAUUGCAGUUUAUAUCAACGUUCAGAUAAUAUGGCGAGAUCCUGACUCUUCAGCUUCAUUAAUUGAGAUUUAAUAUUGGUCGGUUAUUUGCCAAGUAGUUACUCUCCUUCGGUGGUUCAGCUUAGAAUUAAGCUAUACUAAGUAAUCUCAAUUAGUUGUCCCAGAUACCUUGUACAUCUUAGGUGUAGUCCUACCAGUGAAGUCUCUUCCUAGAUCUCAGUGUAAUAGAGGCACAUCUUGCUUAAACAUAGACUGUUGGCUCAAAAAAAAGCAAAAAAUUGAUUGUAAUAACAAUACCAUCCAACAAAGGUGCAUUUAUGAAGGGCAAUCAAAUUUUGUGAUGGUGGUUCGUACUUUUAUAAUAGUACAGAUUAAAACAUAGAAGUAUUAAAAUAUUUCAAAAUUUCCAUAAAAGUGGAAGCUUAAUUUUCUUAGACAUGUACAUCUGGAUGGAAGAUUGUGGCGUAGUGGUCAAUGAAGUGGUUGAAAAUCAUGAGAUCUAAUGUGCGAAUCCCAGCAAAGAAGAAAAACCAUGUAAUGACUUUUUCCAUCUUUCAUUGCCUUAGUGGACAGAGUUACAUAGUACUUAUUGCUGGUGGGAGGUAGUAUGCUUGAAAUAUGUAACAUUGUCAUCACUUUUUUCUUACUUAUAUCUCCAUUUGCAUUCUAUUUAUAGCAUAUGUACAUUCUACAGUACAGACGGAAAACGCAAACAGAGCUGAUUGGCAGGAAGAGCUUUACCAAAAGGUAUGAUUUGCAAUAGUACUCUUUAUUUGUACAAGAUUUUGAAAACUGUGGAAAUUUGAUAUGUGGAUUUAGAUAAAAUGGCUGGUUAUAACAAUAUAAGAAAUAGCUGAAUGUUUCAAAAUAUUUCCUUUGAUUAUAGAGUAAUAGAAGAGGUUUACCAUACCAAAUGAACAACUAAAUUCAUGACCAUACCCCUCCAUGCAAGAUGCUUUAUGUAUUCCAUUUCUUAGAGGUAAUAGAAAUCUAAGCAUGUUAACAAGUAACUUCUUAGAAACGAACAUGAAUACUCACUGUGCUGGUGCACUGUAUAAGCCCGUCUUGGUCCCAUAUUUUUAUCGACAACGAAUUUAUUUCACAUGCCCUAAAAUAAUUUAGAAAUGAAGUAUAUUUUGAUAAAUUAACUGAUUAGAGAAAAUUAUUUGUUGAGUGCUAAGAUCAUAUGUCUGUAAGUUCGGGUCAAAGUUCUUCAUGGCAUGUCACCAAAAUCUUUAAUUGCGAAUUUGAGGGAUAAACCUAUUUGUGCAAGAAGUAUAUACAUGAAUAUAUUGCUAUAAGAUGUUUUUUGUGAAAAUACAUUCGUUCAUCUGUAUCAAUAUAUUUUUUUCUGUCUUCAAAACUCAGUCUUAUCUACUUACAUCCCUAACUUAGCUAGUAAUAAGUUGGAAUACUUCAAUUUCUCCAAGAAUAAACAUAUAACACUAACAUUCUCUGUAUUCUCCAUCCCAUUGUUAUUCACUUGUGAAGCCAACUACAAUGUUAUUAUUUUAUUGUUUAUCCUCGUUUUACCUCAUUGAUGAUAAAGGUGUAAAGUUAAAAAAAUAAAUGAUUGCCAUUAAAUUGUGUUAUAUCUCACAACCUAACUUUAAAAAAGUAUAUUCUAAUCCUCCUGGUUGUGCUGGUCUAUGAUCACAUUGCGGAAAUUUCAUUCUUGAUUUUAGCACCAAGAGGCUAAAGAAAGCAAAGUUCAGUAACUUAGUUCUACUUCACUUUUAACCUUUUUAUCUAGAAGGUUCUUUUGUGACGAUUUUCUAGUAUUGUUCUCAAUUGUAUCGUACAAUUGAUCUAAUUAUCACCUAACCAUGUGGGAAUGCAUUCUUGACAUUUAUGCAAUUGACUUAUUGAAUUAUUUUUGCAGAUUAAGUCUAUGAAGGAGAUGUAUUUAUCAGAUAUCAAUGAUUUAUACGAGAAAAUUACUUCUAAAGUGCAGCAGGUAUGUCAAUAACAUCCCUUUAAGUGUUUCAUCAUUGUUUCAAAUUUUGGUUGGCUCUCUUGCAAGUUCCGUAAAAUGACACACCAUCAUUUGCAUAUUGCAUGCCCCAAGGUGUAAUUCAUAUUGCGGUGUAUUACUUAUUUCCUUAUUGGAAACUCCUCAAACUGGGAACUGAUGCAGAAAGCUCAAGACACUAUAUUAGCGUUAUUUCUUCUUUGGUUCCUUUCCUGUUGAUUGUCAUCAUGAGAAAAAGUAAAGAAUUAAGGAUUCCCUAAUUUUUCGGGAAAGCGCUUGAUUUAUCUGAAUCUAAAAGCACUUGAGUCAACAUUCUGCUGAAUUGUGUGAACCUUCUGCACUAUGUUAUUUUUCUCAUUAUGUAAUUUUUUCAACUAUGUUAUUUGUCCCUUUUUUUUCUUGAUUUUAUGCAGGACUCUCUUUGUCAGAGUCUUCCAAAUGAGAGAACUGAAGAACUCAAGAUGUUCAAGAUUACUCUGGAACGCGUUAUGAUUUUCCUGCAGCUUAACAAAGAUGAUAUUAAUCUUUGUCACAAGGAGAAACUGCGUUCGGUUGAGAAGCACAUAAGUUUCUUUCUAAUAGGCAAAAAUCUACACAUGCCUACUUCUUCUGCAUUGAAGGGGUAACUUCCUCAAGCUCCCAUCCAUACAAGUCAGGUAGGCAGUCCGAACUUGUUUGUAUAAUUCAAUUGUUUUCACCUUGUUGAAGUUGUUUUCCUCUUGUGUUAACAUGCAUCUACAUUUCGAGUAGAGUUUUUUCUUUCUUUAGGGGGAGCUUGAUUACUUGGAACUUGUGAUUAUUUUCCUAGUAUAAAUCUCAUAAGUUAUGACUGAUAUCUCAUGCUACUUCUACUUUAUUCUAAGGUCUCAUGUGUUUAAAAAGGAAGGUAUGGAGAUAAAAGAUUAGAGAAGGUUAGUAGGGAGACGAGUGUUGUCGUACUUCUAGUAGUAUGAUUUAGGUAGCUUGUAGUUUCUUUUUCCAACUACUGCUUAUAUUACUUGAAAAUAGGACUCAAUCAAAACGUAUAUUAGAAAAUCAACAAAUCAAAAAAAUGAUAAAAGACUGAAAUAUAAGAUAGAGAAGAAGGGGGAUGAAAAGCUCAGAUUUCUCAAAAUUGGGGAUGAGAGACUCCAAAAAUUUCCAUAACAAUAAAUCCCUACAUUAUGUUACUACUAUAAGAUUCCUUCACAUUUUUCCCCAACCAUUAAUUCGAAAUUAGUUAAUGUUUUUGGACUUCUCUUAACUCGUGUGAUCUGCCUAUCUGGCACAAUUGGUUCGGCCACAUUGGCCUCCACCUCACUAUUUUCAUUUAUAACACCUAUAUGUAUUAAUAUGUGUUGCUACACUUGUUUUGUACAUGGCUACUUUGUUUUUUUCUUUCUUACUUUGCUGCGUUUGUUACAUUGUUUUUUUGUGUCAGAGGUCUAUCAGAAACAACGGAUCUACUAUAAGGAUUGAGUACAUCCUACCCUCCCCAGAUCCCACUUGUUUAAUUACAUGAUUGUGAUGUUUUUGGUCUUCUCAGUUUCGUUCUAAGAUUUUGUGUGCAAAGUUAAUGAUCUGUCUUAAUUUAGUCGUAUAUUACUCAUCAUAUCUUUCACGUUAUAUCCAAUGCAGGCACAAUAUACAUAUGCACACCAUCCGCCUAUGCUGGAUUCCUGUGGGCAAGAUAUUGCUUCUGAGUUUGAUAGGAUUCUGCAUUUUAUUUAUUAGAUGGUAGUCAUGGUGGAUUGUGUCAAGUAUGGAAUGGUUUUUAAAUGUUUGGUUUUGAUAGAUUGAGAUCUGGUACAAAACUUGAUGAGCAUUGAGAACAUAUAAAGUGUUUGUGAACCCAUGCACGCUCCCUGGAUUAUGUAAAGUACUUGUGAACCAACUUAUGCAUCAUUUCCCUAAAUUAUGUAGAAAUUACUGCAACUAUAAUGAUAAAUUACUUAAAUUUUAUUUGGGAAUCGUACUAAAAUUUGAAAUAUCCAUCUCCAAAAUUUUCUUUUGAAUCUUUAGCAACACUACAAACAAAGGCCACAUUUUUCAAAAAAAAAAAUUGGCCUCUCUUUUUAGUUUUUUCUUCAAUUUAUUCUUAUGAUUUGUGAAGUGUGUUUCCUUAAAUGAUGAUGAUAUUUUAAUCUUUUUCAAAUAUAAAUUUCUUAAUGAACCAUUAUAAGCUGAUUUUUCUUUUGUGAUAAUAAUAUUAAUUAUAGUUUACUUCUCAAGUCAUUGUUUUGGAAAAAAAUUAUAGCAUUUGUUACGCCCCCUAAAACUAAAGACUAAACGAGAGCCUAUAGUGACCUUAAUUGAGUCAAAUAAAAUGAGUAGAGUCGUAAAAUAACCUCUGUUACUUAGUACUAAUGUUUUUGAAUAAAAAGUCAAGGCAUGACCCCCCAAGGACCCCCACCCCUCGAGGGUCCUUGAGGAGAUCCGAGGGGGGGGGGGCUUCCAAAAGCUAGCAAAUUGCAGCCUUGACCUAUGGAUAGGGAACCCACGGUCUAUGGGUGGACCCACGCCCCGUAGGUGGGGGCCUUGGGUCAUGGCUUGGCCUCCCCUGCAACCUCUAAGAUUAAGAGCCUAACCACGUUUGUACAGCACGGAUUGUGAGCCCACCAACGGCCCGUGGGUGGGGAGUCGUGGGUCACACAUGUGGGGUAUUUAAUUUGUUUUAGUUAGAGUUAAGGGAGGAUAUUAAGGUUAAUUAAUUAACAAAUUAGGGUCGGUUAAUACUAAUAAAAUAUUUAUAUAAAAGAGAACCCUAAAUCCGUCUACGUGGGGCCACCACAAGCAAGAAUUUCCUUUUAAAUUUAUUUGUUACCAAAACUAGCCUUUCUAUUUUAUAAAAAGACGUUACUUUUAUGAAAACUUGCGACUUUCAUGAAAAGUUAUUACUUUUAUCAAAGUUUGUGACUUUCAUGAAAAGUUGUAACUUUAAUGAAGAGUUGCGACUUUAAUGAAGAGUUGCCACUUUAUGAAAAGUUAUGACUUAUAUGAAUGAUUGUGAACUAUUCAAUGGGUUGCAAAUUUUUCAAAUAUUUGUAAUCUUUCUGAUAAGACACAAUAAACAUUUGUUCACACUACUCGUUUGUCUAUAAAGAGAAGGAUUUUCUUUCAUUUUAAAAUAAGAAAAUUCUGAUUUUCUUCUUCCACUUCCGCAAAAUUAAGUAUUUGUCUGCUUUUGUCCUAUUGAGUGACUUACAAACACCACUGUUUAGUAUCAAUAAGUUGGUGAAUCAAAUCGUUACAUCCAAAGAGGAUGUAAUUCUUUAAACCUCCUGUAUUAGAUGGUAAUAGUUUUAUUAAGGGAACAUUGUGCAUUUAGUGGACUCAAAUUUUUCCUUUCAAUUUCCUUCUAUUUUUACAUAUUCUGGUUUUUUUAAAACUCAUUAAUUUGUGCUUAUGAUAUUAAUUAUUUUAAGUGUAUUUUUUAAACAUUGUUGUUUAUGUUUCUCCAAAGCUAUUUUCUCUAUUUAUAGUGAACAUAUACACAUAUAGUACACAUUUUCAUUGUGUAGAAAAUAAUUAUUGUACUUAGUUCUAGAAAUUUAGGUUUUGAUAUUCUAUAUUAAAUUCUAUAUCUUAAUAGUACAAUAUAUAAUCUUACAUAUUAAUCUAUUUUCACAUAUAUAUGAAAUUUCUCACUUCUCAAUAGAAAAAAUUCAUUAUAC
rnacentral:lncRNA from 1 species